rnacentral:lncRNA from 1 species
CUCUCUCUCUCGCUCUCUCUUCCUCUCGGUGCAACUCUCAAGCGGUAAGGGAAGUGUGCAAAGGAAGCCAAAUAAAUGGGCAACUAGAAAACAACCACCAACAAAGUGAUGUGGCAAAGUAAAACCCACUCACUAAUUACUGUUCAAUUAGAGCACUUAGUCAACAAUCUACAACGGUCCAAUAACGUAGUAACUUUUCCUUUUAUUUCAUGGUUGCACCUAACUUUUGUGUUAGAUUGCUUACAUACUCAAAAGGGAUCAAACCAUUCAGUAGCUCGCAAAUGAUAAAAUCUGACGUUUCUCACAUGCAUGAUGCACCCAUAUGAGAUUUCAUCAUUCACAUAUAUCACAAAGAUUUCCCUCAAUCAAAACCACAAUCCGUAUCAAAUAACAUUUCAAUGAAUCAAAGAUGCACAAUAUUAACUUUUAACCAUAUUAAUCAACCAAUCUGAUCACACAUCAAUAAUAAAAAUUAUUCAUAAACCAUACUUUAUAAAUUAUAAAUAAACUCGCUAAAAAUCCCGAGUGAGUCACCUAGACAUCCAUCGCCUUUCUAAAUCAAACCACAAAGGUUCUCAAAUCUUUAGUUAAUAUAUACACUGAAAACCAAGCAGGACUAUCCAUGAAAGUAAACCGAGUAGGCAAUGACCCCCAAAUAUGGGGUCCUUUUGCUUCGGGGGAAGAAGGGAACGAGUUAAGGUCUUCUGUCCCAAUAUUAUAUGUCCCCUCCCGUCCCAAUCCUAACAUCAAUAUUCAUCAUUCAUGUUUCACAUUUCAAGUUUCAUCCGCAGUUAGUAAGUCAAGGCAAUGCAACAAGAUUUAAGAUAGAAGUUAAGAUUGAGGCUAUUCAUCAUAGGGCUCUCUUAUCUCUUCCUUCUCCGAGCUUGGGUUAUGGGAAGAAGAAGAAAACAAUAAGAAAGUAUCUGCAACAAUCAAUUUUUGUUACGGGACAGCUCAUGAUGUUUAUAUCCAUUUAUUAUGUGCUUCUCAUCUAGCAUUGGGUAGAACUCAUACAAUAAUAUGUCCUAACUUUACUGUAUCUAUUGUUUCAUUUCUUCUGGAACAAUCACACACUUUUUUUUUGUAUUAUGGAUCUACAUGUCAAGCCUACAUUAAACAAAGGAGUUUUCAUUUUAGUAUUAUAAAUGUAUAUAUUUUUCUGUCGGUAUUACUUUUGGAUAUCAAUACCAUAUAUAGCAAAUAUUUUCAGUUCGAUACAAUUACCCGCCCAUUAAGGUUUGGCACAAAAAAUUAGCAUAAAAUUGGUUUGGUAUAGUUGGUAAAUGGUAUGGUCCAGUAAUAUGGUAAAAACAUUCACUCUACUAUGAUCUUGUAAUAUACAUCUACAAUAUGUUUAGAAACACUUACACAAAUCCUCGCCCCAACUUUAUUAAAAAUAUUUUGAAAAUUCGACCAUUUAAAAAAAAAAUUAAUUAUUUUUAUUUAUAUUGAAGUAUAUGCUAAAAUGAGUGUACAAUAUGUGAAUUUUAUAUCUAAUUGAAAAAUGAGCAAAAGUAACUUGUAUGGUAAGUAUCUUGGAGUUAAAAAAAAAAAAGAAGGUGUAAUUAAUAAAUCAUUGAGACGUGUAUGGAAAAUAGAAAUAUUUUUGAAAAAGAAAUUACUAAGUGGCUCUCAUGAUUUGUGAGUUUCGUACUAAUUUUACAUUCGAAUUUUAGUUUUGACUCAAAAGUUUAUGGUGUAAAUAACCUAACAUUGUUAACCAUUGUAAAAAUGUAAUUAAUAACCAUAGACACUUAAGGGUGUAAAUGAGGCGUGCCAAACUGAAUACCAAAGUGCCCAAACUCGACUCAAAUGAUAUUAUUUGUGCUCAAGCUCGGCUUUAGAACAAUAACAAAAUGUUUGUUCUAGGACAACAAUUUGCUGCCCCACGCCAAACUCCGACCACCCUAUCAGGAAGCCCAGCUCGUGUUAAAGUUAAUCAUUUGCUUUUGUUGUUGUCUAACAUGUCCUUUUAUGUAAUUUGAAAUUCUUUGGAUCUCUAAUCUAUUGCCACAUGUAUGGCUUAGAUCUUUUGUAAAGGGCUGCCCAAUUGCCUUAGCAACUGUCCCAAAUACUAGGACAUUUAAUCCAAAUAAAAAAAAUAUCUCUCUUUGUGAAAAAAUAGUUCUCUAUUUUGUUUGCCCUGUUGUUGCCUCUUACUUAAAUCUCCAUUUUUUCUCAUUUUUAUUCUAGUUUUAUUAAUGAUGAAGAUGGUCUGAAUACCAACAUGGUAUCAGAGCCAAUCUGAUCAAAGAGUGGGGAAUUUUUUUUAUUCUCAAAAGGGGGAAAAUUCUAAGUGAAACCCUAGAAUCAAAAUUUUCAAAUUCAUGGCUGGUUCAAGUAGUAGUGAAGAGAUUCGAACUCCUAUCUUCAGUGGAGUGAAUUACGACUUAUAAAGGACAAAGUUGAGAACAAGUUUUGUAUCUCACGAUUUGUGAAGCUUGAUUGAAGAUGGCUAUGUGGUACCCCUAAGUACUGUAGCUUUGACAGAGGCUCAAACAAAGGAACUGAAGGAAAACAUCAAGAGAGAUGCAAAAGCUCUUGGGCUCAUGCAAAAUGCUAUCUUAGAUGAAUUUUUUUUUUGGAAUCUCGAACGAGACAAGUGCCAAAUUAGCUUGGGAUGUGCUUGAGAAAGUCUACAGAGGCUCUACUAAGGUAAAGGCUGUCAAACUCCAAUCUUUGAGAAGAGAUUUUGAGUACAUAAGAAUGAAAGAUGAUGAAUUGCUAGAUAAUUACCUGAGUAGAUUGUCUGAGAUUAUUAAUCAAAUGAAAAGUUAUGGUGAAAUCUUGUCUGAUGAGAGAAUAGUUCAGAAGUAUCUAAUCAGCUUGCCAAGAAAGUAUGACAACAUAGUUUCAAUCAUAGUGGAGACUAAGGAUUUGUCAACUUUGAGUGUUGAAGAAAUGAUUGGUUCACUCAAAGGUUUUGCUCAAAGACUAUCCAGGCAUGACAACAAUGAUGUAGAAAAUGCUUUCCAAAUGCUUACAGUGAAUCCAAAAACUGAAGUUAGUUCAAGUCAAAGCAAAGCCAAGCCCAACAAGAAUUAGAAAGGAAAAAACAAAAAGUGGGAAGGAAAGGAUAAUUUUGAAGAGAAGAAAAGGUUGAGAAGAGUUAGUAUGCUUCAAAGUGCAAAAUUUGUGACGAAGCUCAUUCUGGUGAAUGUUGGUUCAAGGGAAAAGUGAAAUGCCACAAGUGUAUUAGAUUCGGGCAUAUGCAAAAGGAUUGUACCUAUAAGAAUAAUUAGCUAGCUCACUACACAUAAGCAGAAGGUGAAAAGACCAAUAUGUUUUGUGUUGGUCAUGAUACAACCGUCCAAGAAGAAUCUAAAGUUUGGUUUGUGGACAACGGCUGUAUCAAUCAUAUGGCAGUGAACAAGAACAUUUUUUCAUAAUAUUGACACUACAAACCCAACCCGAGUGAAGAUAGGAAAUAGGCAGCUAGUCGAUACAUUGGGAAGAGGUACUAUUGCCGUGCAUACGAAUAAUGGAAAUAUGUUUAUCAAGAAUGUCGUGUUAGUUUCUGAUUUGAAGUAAAUUUUGCUAAGUCUUCGAUAACUCAUUGAGCAUGGUUAUUACUUGUAUUUUGGAGACAAUACUUGCAAGAUAUAUGAUGGGAGGAAUCGUGAACAACUCUUGGCUAAGAUUGAGAUGAGGAAAAGUGGAAGUUUUCCUCUCACAAUUGAGUAUGCAACUCAAUCUGCACUCAAGAUGGAAGUGCAUGGGUUGUCUAGUAUCCAAGAAAAUGAAGAAAUCUGUUAAGGGUGUGCACUUGGGAAACAUCAUAGAGAUUCAUUUCCAUAUGGUAAAGCUUGGAAAGCAAAGGCUCCAUUGGAAUUGAUUCAUACAUAUGUUUGUGGACCCAUGAAGACCUCUACUCAAGUGGGAAACAGGUAUUUUCUAAUCUUCAUGGAUGAUUAUUCCAGAAUGACUUGGGUAUACUUUUUAAGACAGAAAUCAUAAGUGUUCUUAAUUUUUACGAAGUUUCAAGCUAUGGUUGAGCGACAGUCUGGUUAUCUAAUCAAAGUUCUUAGAAGCAAUAGAGGAGAAGAGUACACAUCCACAUAGUUUGAUAAGUUUUGUCAAGAUAUUGGCUUGGAAAGACAGCGUACUGUCAACUAUACUCCACAACAAAAUGGAGUAGUUGAGAGAAAAAAAUAUAGAACCAUAGUCAAAAUGGCUAAGGUAAUGUUGCAUGACAAGGGAAUGCCUCAAUAUUUGUUGGGUGAGAUAGUUAAUAUAGUGGUUUACUUGAUGAAUAGGCAUCCGACAGUGGCAGUUGAAGGCAAGACACUAUUUGAGGCAUAGAGUGGAAGAAAACCUUCCGUGAAUCACUUGAGAGUGUUUAGGUCAAUCUACUUUGCUUAUGUACCAAAAGAACUAAGAAGAAAUCUUCUUGGGAUUGGAAUCAAGCAAUCAUCCGAGAGGAAUCUGCAUUAAUCAGAAUUGAAGAAGAAAAUCAGCCAAAUGAAGAGGAAAUUGAGCUGGAAAAUCCAUAAUUGUCACUUGAAAAUAGUCCUCAAGUUCACUCUCCCACACCUUUGAGUCCAAGUUCAACGCCAAUUUGGUUAAGGAGCUUAUGAAGUCUAUAAAAGCUGCAAUUUAUGUGUUGUAGAACCAGAAAACUUUGAUGAUGCAGUGAAAAAAGAUACAUGAAAGGCUGUAAUGCAAAAAGAGAUCAAUGUUAUUGUGAAAAACAAGACAUGGCAACUAGUGGUCAGACUUUGUGACAACUCCGUCAUUGGAGUGAAGUGGAUUUAUAAGACUAAGCUUAAUCAAGAUGGUUUUGUUCAAAGGAACAAAGCUAGAUUGGUAGCAAAAGGUUAUUCUCAGAAACCUGGGAUUGACUUCCAAGAAACCUUUGCAUUGGUAGCUAACAUGAAACAAUCUGUGGCCUUAUUUCUGAAGCUGCUCAGAAGAAGUGGUUUCUACACCAACUUAACGUCAAGUCUGCUUUCCUAAAUGGAGUCCUAAAAGAAGAGGUGUUCGUUGAUCAACCUUAAGGAUUUGUUCGUAAAGAACAAGGGCACAAGGUGUACAAUAUUAAAAAGGCACUUUAUGACUUGAAACAAGCUCCAAGAGUAUGGUAUGGAGAGAUCAACUCAUAUACUUCAAUGAAAGGGGAUUUCAAAGAAGUGAGAAUGAACCUGCCUUCUAUUUCAAAACUGAAGGUACUUCAGAUAUCCUUAUCGUUUCCUUAUAUGUUAAUAAUUUGGUUUAUACUGGAAGUAGUGAUAAAAUGAUCUUGAAUUUCAAGAAUGACAUGACGAGGAAAUAUGAGAUGAGUGAUCUAGGCAUGAUGCAUUAUUUUUUGGGAAUUGGUAUCAUUCAAUCAAAUGAUGGUAUCUUUAUUACUCAAAAGAAAUAUGCAAAAACACUUCUAGAAAAAUUCAAAAUGGUUGGUUGCAAUCCUGUUGCAACACCUCUAGUUGUGAACAAAAGUUUCAAAGAGAAGAUGGUAGUGGUGAUGCUGAUGAAUAUGUGUAUAGAAGCCUAGUUGGGAGUUUAUUGUAUUUGAUAGUGACUAGACCCGAUAUUAUGUAUGAUGCAAGCUUGUUGUCCAGAUUUAUGCACAAGCCUACUUGCAUUCACUAUGGAGCUGCAAAGAAGAUCCUAAGAUACAUACGAGGUACACCUGACUUUGGUAUUAUGUAUGAAAGGAAUGUUGAGCCAAAAUUGUAUGGGUUUUGUGAUAGUGAUUGGGGAGGUAGUGUGGAUGACUUAAAAAGCACAUAUGACUAUACUUUUACAUUAGGGACUGGUGCAUUCUCUUAGUCAUCUAAGAAGCAGAAAUCAGUUACACUAUCAACGGCAGAGGCUAAGUUUGUGUCAGCUUCAAUUGCAACUUCUCAAACAGUGUGGCUGAGAAUAAUUAUGCAAGACUUUGGUGAGAAACAAGAAUCAACAGCUCCUAUCAUUUGUGACAACAAGUCAACUAUUGCCAUGAGCAAGAAUCUUGUCUGUCACAGCAAGUCAAAAUAUAUUGCUUUGAAGCAUCACUACAUCAGAGGUGUUGUUGAAGACAAGGAAGUGGAUAUGGUAUACUAUAGGACAGAAGAUCACGUUGCUGAUAUCUUCACCAAGGCAUUACCAAAGGACAGAUUCAUUACCUAAGAGAACUUUUGGGAGUGAAGCAGCAAAGCAUUAAUGUCUUCUUGCCAUAGAAUUCAUCCUCUCUUUUGAAGAAUCAUGGGCAAUGAAUUGUUGAAAAAAGUGAGCGGGUGGGCUAUGCAUGAGUGUCAAACGCUGCAGCUUUUCAUAUUCCCUGUCAAGGAAACCAACACUACUAAAUCAUCUUUUUCUAUUCCCAUCUCAAUAUUAUUUCUAAUAUUUUGUUUAAAGUUAUAUGCCAUUAAAUCAAAAGAAAAACUAAUGAAAAUAAUUUGAAAACUUUGAGUUUUAAUCAAAAGGACAAAAAUGUGUUAUAAGUGAAUAGUAUCAGGAGUGACUUUUAGAGUAAAAAUAUCAUUUUCGUUAAAAGUGAACAGUACCAGAAGUGUUUCGUUAAAACUCCCAUCAAAAGGAAAACUAAUGAAAUCCUUUCAUUAAUUUCCUUUGAAAAAAAAAAACCUUGACAUUUAAUCGAGAGACUCCAAAGCUAUUCUCAUUUCUCAUUCCCUUCAUAUAUUUUGUCAAUCUCAAAUUGCAAAUCAAUUCAGCAAACAACAAUAAGAUUUAUAAAAAAAUUUGGCUAUAAAUUUUUUGGUUUCUCCUUUGCUCUACCUCUUACUUGAGUGCUAGGGUUUGCAUAUUUUUUAUUGAAACAUUUUUCCUAUUAACUUUAAUAACCCUUUCAAAUUUGUUUAUUGAUGCUUUGUUAUGUUGGACUUUUGAUUACUUAGUGCGUGUGUGUGUAUAUAUGUAUUAUAUUAGGAUGUUUUGGUUAGCAACUUUGUAAAUAUUAUUUGUGUAAUUUCUUUUACAUUUAAGCCUCAUCUUGCAUAAAAUUCUGGCUCCCUGGCUACGUAUAUAAAGUGUGUAGAAAAACAUGCGGAAUAUGACCAAUUCAAAACCUGUAUAGUUGUUCAACACAAGAGCAAUGAACUGCACGACACCCAUUAUUCAACACAUUUGACCUAUUUUCUUCCUCUUUUGAAAAAAAUAAAAUGCCAUUUUUUUUCCUUGAUGAGCUCCAUCAGCAAUCAGUUUAUGACACUGAAAAUCAACCUUGACCAAACACAUUAUUUCUUGUUGCGAAACAACAACAAAAUAUGGCUGCCACACUCUCUGGAUACUUGGAAUAUUGACUUCUUGGUGGAAUGGAAUAUCUUCUUUCUCAAAUUUAAAUACAAGUGCAGGAUUAAAGCCAUUAUGAAAAUUUAAGCCCCUCGAAAUCACACAAAAAAUUUAAACAAAAUGUCUGCAAUUCUGCUCUUUCUUCUUCUUAUUCUUCUUCUUCUUAUGCAGAUUACUACAUUUUCUUUUGCAACUGCUGAGCAAGGAACCGGAAACAUUAGCCUCGAUGCUUCUCUCUAUACAGAUAACAAUUCAUAUUGGUUGUCAAAUUCAGGCUAGUUUGAGUUCGAAUUUUACAACGAAGGCAACAAGUUGGUGGUAUGCAUCUGAUAUGAGAAAAUCCAGCAAAAAACAAUCGUAUGGACAACAAAUUGCGAUGCUCCGCUGCCACUCUCUAACGAUGUAAAGCUGCUUGGUGAUGGAAUAAGAGUCGUGUCGCCAGAUUAUCGAAUUGUAACAGCAACAACAACCAUUUCGAACAUUUAUGAGCCUGCUGCCUCAGCUUCCAUGCUCAAUUCUGAUAACUUUGUCAUAUACAACUUGAAUUCAAAGAUCAUUUAGCAGAGUUUUGAUACUCCAACCGAUACCAUUGUAUCUGGCCCGCGACUGCUAGCUGGAAACAAGAUUGUCUCCAUCAUCUUGGAUAAAAAUCAUGCAAGCAGAAGGUUUAGACUUUCGAUGCAGCGUGAUGGGAACCUAGUGCAAUACUUGGAAGGUCUGAUUGUAUUACAACAUCAUGCUUACUGGAAUGCUGGGACAUUCAGGGUUGGAGACAAUGUGUCUCUCAACUUUGAUCACAAUGGGCAUCUAUAUCUCUUCAAUUCCACCAAUUCCAAUACACGAUACAUUACGAAUCAGACCUAGCUGUUUAACAAAGGUAUGUACCGGAUGACGAUUAACUUUGAUGGUAUACUCCGAUUAUACUACCAUACUUUGAUUCAAAACGAUUCAUGGUCAGUUCAGUGGUCAUCAUUUUAUGAUAAGUGCACUCCUAUGGGGCGCUGUGGGUUAAAUGCAUAUUGUGUUCCCAUUGAUCAGGAUCCACCUUGUGUUUGUCUUCCUGGUUUUGUUUUCGUUGAUCAACGCCAAAGGUAUUUAGGCUGCAGAAGGUAGGCCUGACAAUUCCUGACACGACCCGAUAACCCGACACGACACGACACGAAAUUAACAGGUGUUCGGGUCGACACGAUAACGAAACGGGUCGUUAUCGGGUAACCCGAUAAGCACCUGUUAAGAUAACGGGUUGGUUCGGGUAUACACGUGGGUAACACGAUACACGAUAAGCAGAAUAUUAAUUUAAUAAUUUUAUAACCCUAAAAAAAUACUAUAAUAAUUAUAUAUAUUAAUUUAACAAUUUUAUACCCCUAAAACUAUAAUAAUUAUAAUAAUUAUAUAUACUAUAAUAAUUAUACCCCCAAAAUAUUAACUAUAAUAGUUAUAUAUAUAUAUAUAUAUUAAAUUUUAUACCCCUAAAAACUAUAAUAAUUAUACAUACAAAAUAAAUAGAUUUAAAUCUACUUAAUAAAUAAAUAUAUAUAUAUACACACACACACCAUUGAACUUCAUGGGAUACGAAUGAUACGAAACUAAUUUCAAUGAUCCAACCGUCAAAAUUGUUUGUAUAUGCUUCGAGAUCGCAUCAGCAAAAAAUUACAAAAAAAAAACAUUCACAGAUCAAGUAACGAGACAAAACUUUCCGACGGUUAUAAACGAAAAAUCACGAUUUAACGGUUAUUUUAACUCCGAUUUUGAUGAUUUUUUACAACUACACUCCUUGACCAUAUAUGAAUACAAUGAAUGAAUUCGAUCUUCAAUUUAAAAUAUUUACACUAGUGGAUACCACAAAAUCUUAUGUUAUACUUGAUGAAAGUAUGAAUAAACUUUUAAGUGUUAGUGAAUCUAUUGUUUUGAUGAGAUACGCAUUCUACGAAACUAGUUUCAACGAUCCAACCGUCAAACAUGUUUGUAUAUACUUCGAGAUCACAUACGCCAAAAAUUGCAAAAAACAAACAUUCAGAGAUCAAGUAACGAGACAAAACUUUUCGACGGUUAUAAACGAAAAAUCACAAUUUAACGGUUAUUUUAACUCCGAUUUUGAUAAUUUUUUACAUCUACACUCCUUGACCCUAUAUGAAUACAAUGAAUGAAUUCGAUCUUCAAUUUAAAAUAUUUACACUAGUGGAUACCACAAAAUCUUAUGUUAUACUUAAUGAAAAUAUGAAUAAACUCUUAAAUGUUAGUGAAUUUAUUGUUUUGAUGAGAUAAGCAUUGUGCGAAACUAGUUUCAACGAUCCAACCGUCAAACUUGUUUGUAUAUGCUUCGAGAUCGCAUACGCAAAAUAUUACAAAAAACAAACAUUCAAAGAUCAAGUAACGGGACAAAACUUUUCGACGGUUAUAAACGAAAAAUCACAAUUUAACGGUUAUUUUAACUCCAAUUUUGAUGAUUUUUUACAUCUACACUUCUUGACCCUAUAUGAAUACAAUGAAUGAAUUCGAUCUUCAAUUUAAAAUAUUUACACUAGUGGAUACCACAAAAUCUUAUGUUAUACUUAGCGAAAAUAUGAAUAAACUCUUAAGUGUUAGUGAAUCUAUUGUUUUGAUGAGAUACGCAUUUUGCGAAACUAGUUUCAAUGAUCCAACCGUCAAACUUGUUUGUAUAUGUUUCGAGAUCGCAUAUGCCAAAAAUUGCAAAAAAACAAACAUUCAGAGAUCAAGUAACGGGACAAAACUUUUCGACGGUUAUAAACGAAAAAUCACGAUUUAACGGUUAUUUUAACUCCGAUUUUGAUGAUUUUUUACAGCUACACUCAUUGACCCUAUAUAAAUACAAUGAAUGAAUUCAAUCUUCAAUUUAAAAUAUUUACACUAGUGGAUACCACAAAAUCUUAUGUUAUACUUAAUGAAAGUAUGAAUAAACUCUUAAGUGUUAGUGAACCUAUUGUUUUGAUGGAAUACGCAUUCUACAAAACUAGUUUCAACGAUCCAACCGUCAAACAUGUUUGUAUAUACUUCGAGAUUGCAUAUGCCAAAAAUUGUAAAAAACAAACAUUCAGAGAUCAAGUAACGAGACAAAACUUUUCGACGGUUAUAAACGAAAAAUCACAAUUUAACGGUUAUUUUAACUCCGAUUUUGAUAAUUUUUUACAGCUACACUCCUUGACCCUAUAUGAAUACAAUGAAUGAAUUAGAUCUUCAAUUUAAAAUAUUUACACUAGUGGAUACCACAAAAUCUUAUGUUAUACUUAAUGAAAAUAUGAAUAAACUCUUAAAUGUUAGUGAAUUUAUUGUUUUAAUGAGAUACGCAUUUUGCGAAACUAGUUUCAACGAUCCAACCGUCAAACUUGUUUGUAUAUGCUUCGAGAUCGCAUACGCCAAAUAUUACAAAAAACAAACAUUCAGAGAUCAAGUAACGGGACAAAACUUUUCGACGGUUAUAAACGAAAAAUCACGAUUUAAUGGUUAUUUUAACUCCGAUUUUGAUGAUUUUUUACAUCUAUACUCAUUGACCCUAUAUGAAUACAAUGAAUGAAUUCGAUCUUCAAUUUAAAAUAUUUACACUAGUGGAUACCACAAAAUCUUAUGUUAUACUUAAUGAAAGUACGAAUAAACACACUAGUGGGUCACUUUCAUUAAGCUUUGAGUUCCUGAUCGGAUCAUAUUUAUAUAUAUUUUUACUUCAAAUUCACUCGUCUUUUCUUAGUUAGUUCCUUAUAUUUUUGAGCUAUUUACGUUAUUUUUGUGUUUAUAGGAUUUGUUAUGCAAAGAAAAUAAAAAUGGCACAAAUGAGUUUUAAAUAAUAAAUUCGUAAAAAAUUGCUUUAGUCGUUCUCAUUCUGUCAUGGGUUAUUGGUAGAAUUAUGUCACGGAUUAUAGGGCAUGGAAAUUAGGCUAAAUUUAUUAGGUAUGCAUUAGAAAUUAUAUGAUAUAUCUAAAAUUGAAGUGUUUUGCAGUUGGUGAGUAAAGAAAAAAAAAAGAAUAAACAAAGUUGUUGGAGGGCUGCACAUUAAGGCACAGAAGGAAUAAAAAACUGCACUUGCAGCGUGAGUGUGGUGGGUGAGGCAUUAGCCUCGGGGGUGAGUGCGGAAAAGAAAGAAAAAUAAUAGGGGAAGUAGGGCAGCUACGUGGGCAGCGAAUAAAGGGAGAGAGGUGAGAAAUCAGCGCGAGGAGAAGACGGGAGAGACGUGAGGAGGGGGAAAGAAGCAGCUUAGCUGCCCCUGGCAGCCUUGGAAAAACAAGAAAAGCAGAAAAUAGAGAGGUCAGAGGCAGUUGCCUUGCGGCAGCAGGAACCGAGGAGAGUCAGGAAGACAGCUGCCCUUGGCAGCGUGAGCGUGAACACGUGCAGUGAGGUGCGAAGAAGAGACGCCAGCGUGAGACCAGAGGGUGGAUAGGGAGAAGCAGCAAAGCUGCAGUGCCAGCGACAGAAAAACAGAAACAUCAGAGCAGCAAGCUGCACAGAAAACAGAAGGCUUCAAUCUAUUUUCUUGGGGUUAAAUCUUUCCAAACUUUUAUUUUAUUUCUGUUUUUAAUAAUGUGUAAUUAAUUUUAUUUUGGCUAGAGGUUAAUUCGAAACCAUGAAUAUAUUUGUAAUAUGAAUUGAUUACCUUCAGUUGUGAUUUCUGAGUUGUGAUUUAAUUUGCUUAACUGCUUGAUAGAUAACUAAUUUUUGUAUGUCGAUUAAGGAUGCAUACUUAAUUUACAUGCAUGAAUUUGAUGCUAGAAUAUAAGUGAAUUUUACCUAAUCGUUAUGAACUUAUAUUCACAAGUAGUGAAGGUUGUUAACCACAAUCGUGUUAAGUAAAUUCUUGGCAUAAGUUUCAUGCAAUUCAUAGUAACAAGUGCCUCGUCAAUGCUUAUGAUUUUCAUAGAACUUAAUGAUUCUUGCUUGUAUCUCUAUUAUGCAAUUCAUGUAGGGAACUUGUGGGGAAUAUUUUGGGUUGUCGUAUGCAAUCAUCCAAUCCAUUAACUUAAGGAAAAUCUGAGAAUUAAUUUAUGCAAUUCAUGGUUAAUUUGGGGCGUUGAGAUUUACAAUUUAUUGAAAGAACAACUGAAAAUCAAUUUAGAUUGCUUAUGUGUCAUGUGUGGAGAAGAACCCUCUAGCUAGUCCGUCAUUUAUCAUUUUACCUUAAUUUUAUGUUUUUGUCAAUUCUGUAAUUUAAUUAAGUUUAAUUUACUUUUCAUCAAAACCAAACACCCAUCCAUUAUUAAAUUAUAUUUUUUUGUUAGUUUUCUUUAUUGUUAGUCUUUUAAUUUAAUUUCCGUCCAUUUCAGUUCCUAGUGUUUAAUUUAAUUGUUUUCAUUAUUUUGAGUCAUUUUAAGUGUGUUUCGAGUUAUUAGAGUUUUUAGCCUAAUUUUGUGUCCUUGAGUCUUGUUUAAUAUUUUUAGAUUAAUUUAGCAUAGAUUAGCAAUCCCUCAUAAUCCCCGGCCUAGAACGAUACCCUACUUACAUCUAUACUACAAUUGUCAAAAAGAGGGUUUAAUUUGUGUGUCAAGUAAUUCUCACAUCAAAUUUUGGCGCCGUUGCCGGGGAUUAGCAAAUUUGCUAAUCCCUUGUUUAUGUUUUUGUUUGUGUUUAUUUAUAUUUUUUUCUUUUUAUUAUUUUUGUGUUUUUGUCUUUUACUUUUGAUAUUUGAUUUAUUUUUCUUUCUUUGAAUUGAGGUACAAAUGGAGCAAGACCUGGAUUCUACUAGCAUUCAAGAUCUAUUGGCACAGCUCACUGCUCAAUUAACUCAUAAUGCCGAACGGACCACAAUGCCAAGUGUCCCUACACUUGAUGUGCCCUAUGGGCAAGGAUAUCAAAGUCCUCAAUUUUCUGCAAAUGAAGAUGUUUGGGGGUAUCAAGGCCAUAACCAAUCAAGGGGCAACAUGUUUUCCAAUGCUUACAAUUCUGAUUGGAGAGAUUAUUCAGAUUACAUGUGGGGAGAACCUCAACAAUUCCAACAUGGUAGAUAUUGGCAGCAAGAAGACGCGUUCUAUUCAAGACCUAUACAGCCACCACAGCAUCCCCCACAACAAUUCCAAUCGAAUCAAAGUAUGCCCGUGGAUUAUAAUCAAAUGCUUGAAGAAUUAAUUUCUUCGGUACAGGGUUCACAAAAAGAAGAACAAUUGCCGCCAUCGGAAGAGUUCUAUCAGUGGCCAUAUGAACCGUCACAGCCACCACAACAAUCAACCCAAUUCAAUUCAGGUACGUCCUUGGAUAAUGAUACACUUAAUAAUUUACUCACCUCUUUGAAUCAGGGAGUAGAAAAUCAAAACCAAGAGAUGCAAGACCGAGUCAGAAGAGUGGACGAAUUGGAUAUGCAUGUUGGGCAGAUUAUGGAAUUCAUGGCACAGAUUCAAGAGCAAAGUGAAGUCUCCAACUCAACUCUUGAAAAUUCAAAGGCAGAAGUUGAAAUCGAUAAAGCCAUCACCUUGGAAGGUGACAGGGAGGAUGAAGCUGUCCCAGAACCAUCCAAACACAGCCCGAACUUGGAUGAAUUGCUGCUGCAAGCAGAAGGGGAGGAGGACGACCUGGGCAGUUUAGAUGAAUUCUUGCUGCAAGCUCCUCAAAUUCCUAUGUCAUCCAACUCAGGUGAGGAAGUUCUAAAUUCACUUCAUUCUAACAUUAGUCCACCAAAUGUCCUUUUUCUUGCAGGUUUUUGAUUCCCAAGCAAGAAGAGAGUGAAAAGACAUUGUGGAAGCUAUUCCAAAGGUACAAAAGGAUAUUCCAAUUCUUGGUGCAACAAGCAAGUUCUAGAUCGUGUUGAAUUUUUCAAAGGCCUUUGUUUCCCAAGAAGAACGAUUUAAGAGAAUGAAGUGGUUGAAGCAGAUCAAGAAUUCAUCCAAGGGGCUGUGCAUGAGACAAUCAAGCCCAAAGCAGUUGAGUUUGAUGACCCGGGACAAGCCACAACUAUCAUAGUAAACCUGGCCAAGUUCAAAGUCCCGGAAAUGUUCAAAAAUGUGGUGUUUGUCAUUGAGUUUGUGCCGGAAAAAGAAAGUAAGUCAUCUUCUCCAAUUUUAAUUUUUAUUUAUACUAACAUGUUUCUUAUUUUGAUGAUUCAGGCACCCACUCUUGAAUUUAAACCAUUGCCGAAUCAUUUCAAGUAUCACCUCCCAUUAAAAGAUAAAUUCCAUGCUUUGGAGCCGAUGAGAGUUUAAAGGAAAGAUUCGUCCGGCUAAAGACGUUAAAUCAAGCGCUUCUUGGGAGGCAACCCAAGCAUUCAACGAAGGAAGACUUUGGAAUCGUUAACCCAAUCAGAUUUGCAUUCUUACACCCUUAUCUUUACUGCUUUCAUUUUGUUUUGUUUAGUUAGUUGUGUUAUUUGGUUGAUUUCUGUGAGUUUGUGUUAUUUAGUUUAAGUGUGGGGGAAGGUUAACCAAAGUCUUUUUACAUUAAUUUACAUAUAUAUAAAAAAAAUAAAUAAUAAAAAAAAAAGAUAAAAUUUAAAAAAAUAAAAUAAAAAAAAAUAAAAUAAAAAAAAAUAAAAAAUAAAAACAUAAAAGUACAAAUAUUUUACAAUGACUUAAACUAAUAGCAUUCAUUGGUCAGGUGGUGCUUCAGUAGUCGGCGGAGCUUCGGCAGUCGGCAGGGCCACAGAAGGAGGAGGCAGCAGAGGUUGAUCAGUUGGAGCUUCACUACGUGGUGCCGCUCCAGAAGACGAAGGCAGAUGUUGUUGGAACAAUCCCACAAACCUUCGAUGAUCAAGUAAAAUUUGACCAUCGGUGUCCUGCAUCUGGUCAAUCUUCCUCUUCAUGCUGGUGGCAUAGUUGUGUGCAAACUUAUGCAAUUGUUUAUUUUCAUGCUUGAGUCCCUAAUCUCCUCUUUGAGACUCUGUAUUUCAGCCACCAACGAUUCAACAUGACGGGUUCGGGCAAAUAGGCGUUGGGCCAUGUUGGACACAGAACCAGCACACUGCACGCUAAGAGCCAGAGACUCCUUAACCGCCAAUUCAUCAGACCGUCUAGCGAGCAGUCUGUUAUCUCUGGGAGUGACAAGGUUCCGGGCCACCACCGCAGCGGUCAUGUCAUUUUUUCACCGAAUCCCCCACGGUAAGAGGACCGGUGGGAGAUAUGAAGGAUGGGCGCCAUAUGUUGUCUGGUGAAGGCGGAGCUGCCUCUUCACCACGGUUGAGGUCAAAACGACGAUCGGAAGGGCCAGACAUUUUUCAGAGGUGGUGAAGAAAGAAGAGAGUCGGACUGAUCAAGAUUUCGGAAGUGCAAGAAGGGAGUGUUUACAGGAGGGAGCUCAAGUGUGUUGUGGAACAAAAUUAACGCCUCUAUAAAAAGAAGAAUUCAAAGAGGCACUCCUCAGAAAUCGAUGAAGCGUCCUCUCACAAAUCGAAGAGUCGAGGAGUUUCCGUUCUCAAAAGCCGGAUUCUUUUCUCAAAAGAGGCGUUCAUUUCUUAAAAGUUGGGCUUGCUCAGAAACCACGAGCCGAACCCCGGAUUUCGCAAGAUCAAUUCGUCCAGACGUGUUGUCACCCGUCACACGCAAACUCAGCUCUGCGAAAAUCACGGGCAGUCUGUCGAAGUGCCGAUUCCAACCAUCUGUCUCUCUCAGCCUAGUCAGCAUUUGUCACAUGCAACUGGCAGCUUUGCGGAAAUUACGGGCAGCUUUGUCAGAAAGCGCGUAAUUUGUACUAUUCAUCCAUCCACCGGCUGCCGACAAUGAGUGAGAGAACAGUUCCGGUUGUGAAGACAAGUCCUAUAAGUUUCUACCUUCGCCUUCCACAGCAAAAGCACACUCUCUCAGCACACCCUCUCAACUCUUCUUCAUCUCCGAAAAUGCAUUCCCAAAGAAUCCUUCUCGAGUCACUCUGUGUUCCUCAUUCCUUGGGAUACUCCUGCGAACAACCCAUUCAAAGCAAAAGUAUUUCAUAUCAUAAAGGUUGAAAGCAAGAGUAUCUCAUAUCAUGCUUUCUCCAUGUCCUUCUCCUUGUCUUUGUUUUCCGACAAGGAGAAGGAGAGCAAUCAGCCAGCAUUUGGUAUCAAUCUUCCGAUCUGGAGCCAACUGCCUGGAACCCCUUCCUGAUUGCUUACCUAGCCUUGCUCUCGAGUACUCAUCUUCAUCAUCUUUAUGCUUUCCUCUUUUGUCUACCACAUCUACCUGGGGGACAGUAAGGGAAGUGAAAAUGAUACCUCGAAGCAUGUGGAGACAAUUCAGCUAGGGACAAGGAGAAAGAAAGCAAGAGGUGGGCACUUGGAAAGAUUGAAGAAAGAAAUCAAGGACCAAACCUCUACCUCGUGCCUGCCCGCCAUGCAGAGGAAACAAGCAGAGAAGAAUGCAGACUGAACUGAAAUCCUCGCUCAGAAUUCCAAAUCAGUUCAAGAGGAAAGCUGUGGAAAGUCAACAAGCACGACCAAUGAUUCACUUAUUAGUUUCUAUUCAUUAUCUUUUAUUUUCAUUUUCAAUUUUUCGUUUGCAAUUUUUUCUAAUUAAUUUUCUUGCGUACUUAACUGAAUUAUUUCUUUUCUUUGCAGGAACUUUUGGUUAUUUCCACCCUUGAAGUUGAUUGCAGAAUUUUAGCUUGGGGGGUCAUCGCUUGAUUUUACUGCAAAUUAGGGAAGUUUUCAGUCCAAUUGCUUUAUUUUGUUUUUUAUUAUUUUGUUUAUUUUAUUUAUUUUUGCAUUAUAGUGUUUUCUGACAUUGGGGACAAUGUCCAGUUUAAGUAUGGGGGUAAAGGGUAAAAAUGACCAAAUUGAAAUUUUUUGUACCUUCAACUUCGAACUGGUUUCAUUUGUUUCUGUGUUGUUGCUUUUUAUUUUUUAGUUUUGUUUUCUCUAUAAAAAAAAUAAAAAAAAAAAAAUCGGAAAAUUUAAAAAUCCAAAAAUAUUGUCUUGUUUUCCUUAUUGUUUUGAAUUAGAUUUUUGUUAGUUUCCCGACCCAAUGAUAUAAUUGGAUAAAAUUUGAACCAUGAUCAUCAAGAACUUAGUUAACAUGUGUUUUUGUGAAAUUCCUAAUUCUCGUUGUUAGUUUUGUACAUGUUUGAUCAUCUUUGAAAAACCAAAUGCACAUAGCCUUGUUGAUGUGAAACUAAAGCAUGACUUAAAGCUUCAUAUGUGAAUUUAGUGACCAUAUACAUCCUAUGUGAGUUUUUGAGCCUAUUGAAAGUGUGUGCAUUUUUCAUACACUCCUAUUCUUUCAUGUGUGAUGAACUUAUGUGAGAUACAUCUCUAGAACUUGCGUAACGAUCUUUCGAAAUGUUUGUCCUUGAUUGCAUGAACUUGGAAAUGAUAGAGGCAUUAGGUUUACCAUGGCCCAAAUAACCAUGUUUCCCAAAGAAAAAUGAUAUCAUUAGAUUGCCAAUUUGAGCCGUAUAUGUUGAACCUUUUGUUUCUUAUCACCAGAUAUGUCUACCCUUAUACCUGAAACAUUUUUCCUUACCCUUUUCCAAGCGAGCAAUGCGAGAUUGUCUUAUGAGAAACGUUUGUUAAGUACUGUGAAGGUGUUUGGCAAAAGAAUAAGUGUGGGGGUAUUUCAUGUUUGUAUUUCAAAAAAAAAAAAAAAAAAAAAAAAAAAAAAAAAAAAAAAAAAGAAAAAGAAAGAUUGUAUACAAAGAAAAUAAAAGUUUUUAAAGUUUCAGUUUAAGGUUGUGGUUGGAGGAUGUCUAGAAGAAUCGUUGGAGAGCUUGAGUUCUUAUAAAUCUAAAGAAAAGAAUUGCUUGCAAUGUAGCUUGGAACUUGUGUUUUCCUAUUCUUUCGUUUCAAUAACCCUAUCCCUAAACCUCAUUACAUCCAAUAAAAGUCCUCUUGAUUUAAGUUUUGCAAUUAUGACUGUGGAGAAGUGAUCUUUAUGCAAGCUUAUGGUAGAAAUUUCACAUUUGUUUCUUUGAGCGAAACACAUUAAAACUAAAACACAUGUGUGAUUGAGUGCAUAUCCCGUGAGAAGGUCGCUAGUUUGCAUAUGAUGAUUUUAAAAAUAAAAACUUGAAAUUGCAUUAGCAUGACUAUCUCACACACUACACUUCAAGGAUGAUUCAAAGAUUACUGCUAAUAUUUGAAUAAGAUGAACUUGGAUUAGUUUGUUUGACGCUAGCUAUGGUUCUUGAUGAUUUGUUUUCUCGAAUGAAAUUCUAUGAGGGUCACAUAGGGGGAAACUAAUGUUUUUCAUGUUAUUACUUUUUCAUGUCUCUUUGUUUUGCUCGAGGACUAGCAAAAGCUAAGUAUGGGGGUAUUUGAUCGGAUCAUAUUUAUAUAUAUUUUUACUUCAAAUUCACUCGUCUUUUCUUAGUUAGUUCCUUAUAUUUUUGAGCUAUUUACGUUAUUUUUGUGUUUAUAGGAUUUGUUAUGCAAAGAAAAUAAAAAUGGCACAAAUGAGUUUUAAAUAAUAAAUUCGUAAAAAAUUGCUUUAGUCGUUCUCAUUCUGUCAUGGGUUAUUGGUAGAAUUAUGUCACGGAUUAUAGGGCAUGGAAAUUAGGCUAAAUUUAUUAGGUAUGCAUUAGAAAUUAUAUGAUAUAUCUAAAAUUGAAGUGUUUUGCAGUUGGUGAGUAAAGAAAAAAAAAAGAAUAAACAAAGUUGUUGGAGGGCUGCACAUUAAGGCACAGAAGGAAUAAAAAACUGCACUUGCAGCGUGAGUGUGGUGGGUGAGGCAUUAGCCUCGGGGGUGAGUGCGGAAAAGAAAGAAAAAUAAUAGGGGAAGUAGGGCAGCUACGUGGGCAGCGAAUAAAGGGAGAGAGGUGAGAAAUCAGCGCGAGGAGAAGACGGGAGAGACGUGAGGAGGGGGAAAGAAGCAGCUUAGCUGCCCCUGGCAGCCUUGGAAAAACAAGAAAAGCAGAAAAUAGAGAGGUCAGAGGCAGCUGCCUUGCGGCAGCAGGAACCGAGGAGAGUCAGGAAGACAGCUGCCCUUUGGCAGCGUGAGCGUGAACACGUGCAGUGAGGUGCGAAGAAGAGACGCCAGCGUGAGACCAGAGGGUGGAUAGGGAGAAGCAGCAAAGCUGCAGUGCCAGCGACAGAAAAACAGAAACAUCAGAGCAGCAAGCUGCACAGAAAACAGAAGGCUUCAAUCUAUUUUCUUGGGGUUAAAUCUUUCCAAACUUUUAUUUUAUUUCUGUUUUUAAUAAUGUGUAAUUAAUUUUAUUUUGGCUAGAGGUUAAUUCGAAACCAUGAAUAUAUUUGUAAUAUGAAUUGAUUACCUUCAGUUGUGAUUUCUGAGUUGUGAUUUAAUUUGCUUAACUGCUUGAUAGAUAACUAAUUUUUUUGUAUGUCGAUUAAGGAUGCAUACUUAAUUUACAUGCAUGAAUUUGAUGCUAGAAUAUAAGUGAAUUUCACCUAAUCGUUAUGAACUUAUAUUCACAAGUAGUGAAGGUUGUUAACCACAAUCGUGUUAAGUAAAUUCUUGGCAUAAGUUUCAUGCAAUUCAUAGUAACAAGUGCCUCGUCAAUGCUUAUGAUUUUCAUAGAACUUAAUGAUUCUUGCUUGUAUCUCUAUUAUGCAAUUCAUGUAGGGAACUUGUGGGGAAUAUUUUGGGUUGUCGUAUGCAAUCAUCCAAUCCAUUAACUUAAGGAAAAUCUGAGAAUUAAUUUAUGCAAUUCAUGGUUAAUUUGGGGCGUUGAGAUUUACAAUUUAUUGAAAGAACAACUGAAAAUCAAUUUAGAUUGCUUAUGUGUCAUGUGUGGAGAAGAACCCUCUAGCUAGUCCGUCAUUUAUCAUUUUACCUUAAUUUUAUGUUUUUGUCAAUUCUGUAAUUUAAUUAAGUUUAAUUUACUUUUCAUCAAAACCAAACACCCAUCCAUUAUUAAAUUAUAUUUUUUUGUUAGUUUUCUUUAUUGUUAGUCUUUUAAUUUAAUUUCCGUCCAUUUCAGUUCCUAGUGUUUAAUUUAAUUGUUUUCAUUAUUUUGAGUCAUUUUAAGUGUGUUUCGAGUUAUUAGAGUUUUUAGCCUAAUUUUGUGUCCUUGAGUCUUGUUUAAUAUUUUUAGAUUAAUUUAGCAUAGAUUAGCAAUCCCUCCUAAUCCCCGGCCUAGAACGAUACCCUACUUACAUCUAUACUACAAUUGUCAAAAAGAGGGUUAAUUUGUGUGUCAAGUAAUUCUCACAUCAGUUCCAUUGGCAAGGUUUAAACUUUUGAGAAAUGCUUCACAACUUUGAAAACAAAAACGCUUUCAUUUUGCAUAUCCUUGCACAUUUAAUAUUUGUAAUAGAUUAGUAGUGUAUGGAUGUAUUUUUUAUGAGGCUCUUAUUUUCGAGUACAUAAGCGACAAAUGUGUUUUAAUAUUUUGAAGUAAUAUUUAUGUGACAAUGUGUGGUAUGUGCAAAUUUAAGAAAAAAAAAUAUUUUUCUUAACGGGUCAUAACGGGUCGGGUCACUUUACCCAUUGGGUAAAGUGACCCGACCUGUUAAGGACCCGUUAAGAUAACAGGUGUGACACGACACGACCCGUUAAGAUAACAGGUGUUACACGAAAACGACACGAACACGACUGACACGACCCGUUUGCCAGGCCUAGCAGAAGGUAUGUAAGUACUAUUGGUUGCCCGGACGAGAACAAAAUUACAUAUUCCAUUGCUGAUCUGGAUGGCCUUGUGUGGGAGAACACCCCAUAUUUUGUUCUCAACAUUAAUGAGACUGCUUCUUAAGAUGACUGCUUGAGAGAUUGCAAUUGUGAAGCUGCAGUUUAUCAUGACUAGUUGUGCCAAAAACAGAGGUUUCCGCUAAGAUUUGGAAGAACUGGAAAAAGUGGCUCAACCAUGAUCAAAGUUGUCACUGAGAGUUCAGGGACAAAAACUGUAAGCAAAGCAAGGUAAGAACAACUUCGAACAUGAAUCUUUAUUGGCGGUAUUGCAAUGCUAAGUUUUGCACUUAUUAUUCUAGCAAUUACUGGUUUUGUUAUUUAUAGAUACUGUGUUGCAGAUUACGAAAAGAUUUCGAAUUCAAAAAAUGAUGGGUUUGUAGAAGAUGUCACGCUGCGAUCAUAUACAUAUUGUAAGCUUGAAAAGGCAACCAAAGGUUUUAGUGAUCAAGUGGGCAAAAGACCAUUUGGGACAUUUUAUAAAAGGGUCAUACCAUCAAAUGGUGGGAGAGUAGUGGCUAUCAAGAAACUAGAGAAGGUGAUGGAUCAAGGAGACUGGGAAUUCCGAAAUGAGAUGAACGCAAUAGGAAGGACGCAUCAUAAAAAUCUGGUUAAAUUGCUUGGCUACUAUCACGAUGGAUCAAAUAGGCUUCUGGUUUAUGAGUACAUGACCAAUGGCUUGUAAUAGCAACCAUACAAGCUCUAUAACAAACUAGCCAAGAACAUAAGAUUUAACCAAGUCACAAUCAUCACUCCAAAUAUAUUCUGUAUAUGCAAACACUGAAGUAAUUUCUGCAACACAUACCUGCAGACUGUUUGACGAAGUCUUUCUCAUGUGUGUAUGCCAUUAGGUCAUGAGUAAGUUCAACUUACAUUCCCAAUAGUCUUCUGGAUAAUUGCAACUCGCUGUAAUGCCUUCUCAGAUUCCAAAGCCCGAACUCUAAGCUUCAUAUCACCUUGUUCCAAUCUUUGUAUAAUUUCAGCAAGCUUUUCAACUCUGUCAGCAUGUUCAUGGAUGAAGAAGCCAUGGACGAAUCUACACACAACCUUCUCCUCUCUGCAAAACUCAAUGCUCUUCAAGUUAUAGGUAAUUGGAACAAUAAAAGCAUGUUUUUGUGAGAGCAGGGGUUUGUGGUUUUUAUACUACAAAAUCUAGAUUACCUUAUAAUAAUCCUACAAGGAAUACAAGACCAAAUCCUUGUACAAGUAUGAGUUCUAUUCUUGAGCCAACAGUAGAGUUUCAAUCCAAACCAAAGUUAAAUUAACUCUUAUAAACACAUUAAGACCUCUUUAUACCAAUCUGAAAUAACAAUGAUUAUUACUAAGCUGUGAGAAUCACACUCAUACUCUAACAUAGCUCACUUGCAGAUUUCUUUUUCCGAUCGGAUGGAAGACCAACUUGGAAGGAAAGAAUUGGCAUAUGUCUCAAUGUAACUUGAGGCAUACUUUAUUUACAUGAAGAGUGUGACACACAGAUCAUCCACUGUGACAUCAAAUCGGAAAAUAUACUAAUGAGUGACCAAAAAUGUGCAAAGCUUGUUGAUUUUGGUCUUGCCAAGCUGCUAAAGCUUGACCAAACUAGGACAUAUACCGGGUUAAGAGGAACAUGGGGUUAUGUUGCACCUGAGUGGCAUAGAAACGUUCCCAUAACAGUGAACAAAUGUAUACAGCUUUGGGGUUGUGUUAUUGGAGAAUAUGCUGCAGAAGAUGUGUGAAUAUGGACAUACUUGAAGAUCAAGUUAUCCUUGAGAAUUGGGUAUACCAUUGUUUGGAAGCCGACGAACUGGAUAAGCUAGUGAAGGAUGAAGAUGUUGACAAGAAUGAACUUCAAAUGAUGGUUAAGGUAGGACUUUGGUGCAUCCAAGAUGAGCUAGCAUUUCGCCCUUCGAUGAAGAAGAUCAUACUAAUGCUGGAAGGGACUGUAGAGAUACCAAACCCGCCAAGUUUUACCUCCAUUUCUAGUUCCAUUUCCUGACUAAGCCUUGUUGUUAACUGAUUAGGAAACUAGCUAGCUUCUGUGUAAUUUUGUUGCAGCGUUGGUUUUGUUGUUUGUUUUAGUUUUAAGUAAAGUUUAUCUUCAUGUACUAUGCUACAAUCUGAUCCGUACAAAAUGAAUAACAAGUAAAUUUCAUACUUCACCGAGCAUACAAAUUAGGUGGUGUAUGGUUUCUUUAAUUUAGGUGAUAAGUCUAUCAAUGUAUACAAUGAAGCAGAAGAAAAUCUUUCUCACCGGCGUGUGUGGGGUUUCAUUCUCAUUGAUCUGCGUCAGCACCUGCCCUAGCUUAGGCUAGGCUUGGUGAUUGUCCCAUGGUUUCCUGUGUAGUUUGUUUUUGUGGUUUAGUUUUCAGUUUUAUCUAGCUCUUCAUGAUCUAUGGGAGAGUGUAGAGCUUUAGUUCAUGUGUUCCCACCAUCAUCCUUGUUGGCCCUUGUUGGUCCUUCCCAUUGUCCACCCUUGUCGGCGAUAUUUCUCGUGGGUUUACACCUACAUGCUUUCUUGGUCUCGUGGUGGCGAUCCUUGUGUUGGUCCAUAGUGGAUGAUAUGGCCUCUUUCUUCACCAAUUUCGAGUUUCUUCAUUGUGUGAUCCCUAGUAGGGGUGAGCACGGGCUGGGCCGGGCCCAUUUUUUAAGGAACCGGACCGGACAUGAGUUUAAAAUAAAUGGGCCGGGCCGGGCUGGGUACAUCAUAUUUCAAUACAGAAAUCAGACCUAACCUGGCCCGUUUGAAACGGGCCGAUCCGGGCCAGGUCCACGGGUCUUUUUUUUUUCUCUCUCUGUUUAAGAUUGAUUCAGCUCCAGAACCCAGUUCCAAAUUGCAAUUCCAAUUCCAAAUCCAGUUCCAAAUCGUCACCAAACCUAGUUCUUACUUUAAUGUUCUUCAAUCUUUACAUGAGCAUACCUCUCUCUAGAUCUUUUGCUUUCUGCAAAAAUGGCUCAGAAUACGUUUUUCUAAUUGGCCUUUUUCUUAGCAUUAUUCACACUCACUUCACUCUCCCACAUCCUACGCGAAUCCGACCCCUCAACUCCUCCGCCUUCUCCCUCCAACUCCACCCCCGCGACGCCCUCUUCAAUUUCCAGCACAAAGACUACAAAUCCUUCACCUUAACCAGCCUCGACCGCGACUCGGCCCGAGUUAACUCGCUUCAAACCAAGCUCCCCUUGGCACUCCAGGGGAUCAAAAAUCAGAUUGCGACUGCGAUGAUGUCGGGGUGGUGGAGGAGAUGACUGACGGAGAGUGGGUGGAACCGUAAAGGGGAAGGGACGAUGCAUGCGAGACGACAAGAGAUGUAACCAAUGAUAGAACAUAUACAUCUAGCAACCUGGGAAAACUUAGGGAUCUUUAUAGAGAUGUAAGUGAUCAAAAAGGAGAAACCAGUAUGGACAGGAUUCCCAGGGGAGAUGGUGGUGGUGGUGAAGAGGUGAUUAGACUUGGCGAUUCUCGUUGGAAAUAGCACGGAGAGAGAGAGAGAGAGAUCGAGAGAGAGAGAGAGAGAGAUUGAGAAUCGAGUCGACAGAUCUGAAAGGGAGGAUUGAAGAGAGGAGAGUAUUCGAGAAGAUUUGAGAAAAUAGGAGAGGAAUAGGAAAAUGUUACAAACGGGCAGUUCGAGUACCCGUUUUCUUACACUUUUGGAAUCGGCCCGCCCCUAAAAUUUCAAAGCCCCGGCCCGCCUUGCCCCGUUUCUUUAAAAAAAUUAGGAACCGGCCCGUACCCGCCCCGAACCGCGAUUACCCGCCCCGACUCGCAGUUCCUAUACCCGUUUGCCCACCCUUAAUCCCUAGUGAUUGUGGAGGGAGGCGGACAGUUGUGCGGAUUUCUAGUGGCGGCGUUUCUAGGAUUUUCUAUGUAGUUUGUUUGUGUGUGAUGGGCUCUAAGUUUCUUAGGAUGUUUUCUUAUGUGCGUUUGUGGCCCAUUUUCUUUUUUGUGCUUAACUUGUAAUGGGCUUUGUUGUACUUGUUUUGGUUAGUAAGGAAAUGUACAAUUUAUAAAAGAGAGUUUUAACGAAAAACUCACGGUACUGUUCACUUUAAUGAAAAACCACAUUUUUACACUAAAAAGUCAAACUUGGUACUAUUCACUUUACCUUUUAUUUUGUCCUUAUCGUUAAAAGUCAAAGUUUUCAAGCCAUUUUCAUUAAUUUUCCUUUUAUAAAAUAAAUAAAUAAAUGAAGUGAUGCAAACUUUAGGGUUACUUACAUUUUAUACCUUUUAGGUUUGAAGUGUUUUUAAAAAUUGGUCAUGAGGUUUCCAUUUUUUCAAACUGCACGUUUACACCUUUUGUCUAUUUGAACGUCUAAUUAUCCAUUAAAUUGAUGAGUUUUUGGGUCAAUUUGGUACAAAUGUGGCUAUACAUAUCAACCCAAUUAUGUGUUCCACGCUCGCAAAGUUAUCAAUUUAAUGAAGACUCAAAACAUUUGUUAGACAAAAAACAUAAUUGAUACAGUUCUAAAAUCUCAAGGUGUAGUGUGAAAAAGUGAAAUCUUAUGGCCCAAUUGACACAGAACGUUAUGUGACAAUUUACUUGAGUAGAAAAAAAAACUCGAGCAUCAUGAUAUUUUGAUGUGAAAAAAAAAACGCAAACGUUUGCUUUUUUUUUUUUUUUUUUUUUUUUUUUUUUUAACAAACGAUAUUAUCUACACUAAGGUGGAAGAAGAUGAAGCUUAGCCUUACAAUAAGCUAAUAAUAAUAUGGUUCAAAUUCGUCUUUGACGAGAAUCGAAUCUAAGACCUCUUACUUACUAAUAAAGAAUGGUAAGCCUUUCUCUAUUGCCCCAAAAAAAGAGAGUAGUCGUUGUCUCAUUUGACGGAUUGAAAUAACGGAGUUUAGUGUCCGAUUAAACCAAGGGGAGCAUGAGUGCAAUUUGACUCACUCCUUAACUUGGCAAAGCAAUCCGGCCGGUCCAAGUGUACUGAUGAUCCGCGUGGCAAAAUCCCUGCUAAACUGCCGAAGGGAACCAAUGAGGCCUCCCGCAGCAAAACUACUCUAAAGAAUAAACACGCGAUCUGAGUCGUCGGCGAGUAUCGACGUCAAAAACCAUUCGCUGGAGCAAAGCAGGUCACUGAAAAUAAAUAAAUAAAAAUUAAAAAAAAACACGGAAGCUGAAGCUGUUGCGGGAAAAAGCUUGAUCAGAUUAGGGUUUCGCGAAUUCGAAUCGCCGAAAAGGUUCAAUCAAGUUAGGGCUUUUAUCAAAAUUUUAGUUAUAAUUGCUUAGUUUGUUUGCUGAAAUUUGGAAAUUUGCAGGAUAACUGAAAUGGGGGACGGCCUAUGGAACCGGCAGCAGCAGCAGCAGCAUCAACUUGGUCCCUCUGGCGGCGUGCAUAAACGACCUCGUUCUGACUACGGUACGUUCUCUGUGGCCGUGUCUCAUAGUUAUUUUCUUUAAUUGGAUGGAACUGUGAUUGGAUUUUUUGCAUUAUAGAUUUAGUUGUCUAACAAUUUAAAUAUGUGACCUUUUUUGUUUUUUAUUCGAGCGAUAUUAUAGUCUAAUCGAAACUAUGGGGAGUGGAGGAUCUGAACUUGGGUGUAAAGAGGGAGCACACUGCUCAAGUGUUAGCUCGAAGUCUGAUUUUUGUGCCAUAAGUGUUUUUGCUUUAGUAGUUCUUGAUGGGUUUUCGGGUUUCACUGUAAAAUUAUGUUCAAAAUGGUGAAUUUUGUGUGUAGAGUAUCUAUCGUUGACAAAGAUUCCAGUUCGGUUGUCUGAUGACUCUGCUUGUUUUUAUCUCCAAUUAUUCCUGCAGAUAUGCAGUUUCUGGUUUUGUAGCUAGGUGCCUUCUUUUCUUUUCCUUUUUUUGAAAAAAAAUGAAAAAUGUUUGCUUCUGUUUUUAUUCUUACAUCUUCAGGUACUUCAUGAAGUAUAUAAUAUAGUUUAGCCUUUUUGUUACACUUGCUACAAUUGGGGUGAACAGUCAUACUUGUAUGAUUCCAUAUCAUAAUGUAUCUUUCAAGAAAGCUUUACUAGCAGAUGAUUUCUGUCGUUAUUUUCUUUGUAACCAAAUCACAGUUUGUCGCUCUUAUGUUUCUUUCAGUCCAUACUGAAUAAGCUGAACCCAAGAAAACCUGGUUCAGUGUGGUUGUUGAGACCUAUGUGCAAAAUGAAAAGUACUACAUUACACGGUACUUAAGAAUGGGUAUUUUCCCCAACCCAACCAAAUCCCAAACCUCUAAAAUGAUAUCAAGUAGAUUCUUCCCUUUAUGUGCGGCCAGUCUUCCAAUCUAAUGCUAUUUUUCAAUAAUGAUGGUAAUAAGAUUCCCCAUACAUAUUUAUGAUGCAUAUUAUUGAUAUAAAUUUUGAUAACCAAAUCCCCUUUUUUUGUUGAUUUAGUUAUUUGUCUGUUGAAUAGUUCUUGUUAUAAAUUCAUAGUCACGAUCAAAAGCAUAGCCUUGUAUAGUCUUAUGUAGAUGUUUCGAUUGGUAUGUUUUCUUUGUACUUUUGAACCUUGAAAGCAGUUUUACUAGUUCAUCACCACCUUGUUUGUUAACUGCUAGAUGAGGUAUAUUCUACAUCCCCCUAUUACUUCUCAACUGGUUUCUUGAUUUAUGUUCUUUCAUUUCUUCUUUUUAUGCCUUUUCUCUUGUUCAAUAGUUGUAAUAUUUACAGCUGAAUUAUGUCUGUUUGUUAAUGUUUUCUCAGUGUCUUGCCUUUUUCAUAAAGGGUAAAAUAUGCGUUCCGUGCAUUAAUUUUGUCAAGGAUCUCAACUUUUAUUUUUCAAGUUAGGAAACAACUUUUCCCCAAUUUAUUUUGUUUUCAGGGGAAAUGUGAAACAUGGUGAAUAGUUAGAAACACAGAUAGGAACCUUUCAACUGGAAUGAGUAUCUCAGUCUUCCUCAGAGCAUCUGUUGUUGGCCCUCACUUUUAACGUUUGUCGCCUCUCUCUGCUUUUCUUUCUCCUUUGUAUCUCGUCUCUCACACUCUCUCUACACCCUAAAAACCUGCACUCCAGCCCCACUCCCAAAGCCUGUCUGAGAGCCAUUCUUCGAAACCAAUAUGUGGACCCUCUUCUUCUUCAACACUCCCCCCCCCCCCUCUCUCUCUCCCUCUCUCCCUUCUCAAUGUUGUCAUCUCUGUCUCAGAUGUGAAACCAUUUGGUUGUGGAUAAUAAGUUUGAUGUGAAUAAUUCUUACGUGAUAAAUUUGAAUGAUAGAAUUUGGUAUCAUUUCAAGUUAAAUGGAGUCGACAAGAAUUUUGUUGAACUUGUGGAGAAAUGGAAGAUGCUACUUGUAUCAGAUAUAGAGCUGAUAUUGGAUAUUUGACAUUGCUUUAUUUCAUUGUAUCAGUUUCUUUGUGGUGUCGAAAUGGUUAUGGUACUUGUAUGGCAUAUAGAGCUGAUGUUGGAUGUUUGAUGUUGCUUUAUUUUGUUGUAUCAGUUUCUUUUUGGUGUUGGAAUGGUUAUACUGUACUUGUAUCUGUUUCUUUAUCUCUUCUUUUGGUGAUGCUUUAUAUUACUUUAUUUUAUUUUUAAAUCUGGAAUGGUUAUACUGUACUUGUAUUGGGUGUAUAUUUGGUGUUGGAUGUUUGAUUGAUAUGAAUGUUCCAGUUAAAAGGCUCUAACUCACAAUGGUUUUGGUUAGAUUUGCUACGUCCAUGGGAUAAGUCAAUUUCACUUUUGUGCCAUUUAAAGGGGCUCUAACUCACAAUAAAUGUUUGGUUCAUCCGCACGUCUUGUCAAAAUGCAUUAACAUUGGUUAUGUGUUUGGUUAUAAUACUUAGUUGAAGCUAAUUUUCAAAUAUUGCUGCUUAAUUGCAAAUUCUGUAAUUCAAUCCUUUCUCAUACUAACAAUGAAUUCAUUUUCACUGUUUUUGUUUUAAGAAAUAGUUUUCAAACUAUUCUACCAGACGCAUUCUCUAAUGUUAAAAUGCAAAAAUAUUAUCUUGUUUUCAUUUUUUGAAAACGUUUUAUGCAGAUGGUUUUGGAAAACAUCACCAGACAGGUCCUUACUUUUCUGUAUUGUCAACCUGUCUUCAGGUCAAGAGAUGCAUGGUUAUUUUGCACGAGAGGAUGAUAUUGGCGGUCCUAGGACUGUAAAGGAUAGCAGAUCAAUCGGAUCAGCAUAUGACCGCUAUCUUCAGAAUGCGGUGACUUUCUUAAGCAUUUGAAACUAUGCUUAUUAUUCAUUGUGAUACAGCUCCCUGUUUUUGUAUUUGUACCAAAACAUUAUCCUACUUUCUUUUAAAGGAAAUGCCUUCGUACACUUCUGGAGAAGCGAGUACUUUUGGUGGAGCUGGAAUGGGAAGGGCUGUUGGUGGUGGAAUGUCAGGUCCUCCAAUGGCUGAUCAUUCUAUGAGGGGUCGUCCUGGAGCUAUGUCUUCUGAUCUACUAACAAAUGGUCGAAAUAUGAAUCUUGCUAAUCAGCUCCCAGUAGAUGCAACGGCUAGGCCUGGACGUGAAACAGUUCCUUUGCCUCUGGAUGCAUCCAGCACUUUAUAUGUUGAAGGACUUCCUCCUGACAGCACAAGGAGGGAAGUAGCUCGUAUCCUUUAUGAUCUUUCUAUUAUGCUUAAGAGUUAGUGCAUUUUGCUGUUUCCAAUCUUAUUGCUUAACCCAAUAAAUUUUCCAUCGCUGAUCCUUUACAUUACUCCAAGAUAUCUUUCGUCCUUUUGUGGGAUACAAAGCAGUGAGGCUUGUGAGCAAAGAGUCCAAACAUGUAUGUGGGGGAGGAUUAUUGUAAACAAUUACUUUUCUUAGUCAUUCUGUUUUUAUUGUUCACUCUGACUUGAGAUUCUUGUUGUGCUACUUGAUUUGACUUUUGGGAAGUUUAUAAUCUGUCUUCACACUAAUAUUCCGGUUUGUCCAUAAUGCAGCGUGGUGGGGACCCUCUUAUUCUUUGUUUUGUGGAUUUUGAAAAUCCAGCCUGUGCAGCAACUGCUAUGAGUGCGUUGCAAGGUGAUUGCUUUUUCUUGUCAUCAACCUUGGUGGCUAUCAGUUUCAAAGAAAGCUUGUUUCUUCCUUUUGUUUUUAUUUGUUUCCUUUAUAACUUUGUAACUGCUAUUUCAAUGGUACCUUAUUCAAUCAUGUAAAUGGUAAAUUUAUGCUAGAAUUCUUCAUGCAUAGCCAGGUGUAAAGAGGAUGAGGCAGUUCACAAAAAUGUUAUAGAUGGUUUCUUGUAAUUGGAGUUUAUGAUACCUCUACACUCUAGAUCCUGUAGAACUAGCUUGCGUUGCUCAUUAUAAUUUCCCAUGCUAGUGGUUUUUGAAAUGCUGGAAGAUGCUGACAUUUGUGUUGCUUUCGCAGGUUAUGAAAUGGACGAACACGCUCCAGAUUCUAAUUACUUGCGGCUGCAGUUUUCUCGGUUCCCAGGUCCCAGGUCUGGACCUGGACGUAACAAGAGGUGAUAGGCAUUAGGUAAUGAGAAACAUCUGUGUUGACGUAAUCAAGAUUAUAUUAGCUCUUAUACAUUCCAUAUAUAUUCUCCUUUCUGUAGUGGUAACCACAUUGUACCCAGAAUAUACAAUGUUAAUUGCUCAGGCUUGGGCACACACUAACUGUAAGUACUUGUUAUGCACGCUGUUGUUUCCAGGUAGUGAAUUCAGAUAGUUUUAUAGUAGUUCUAUUUAACGGAGAUCUGAUUUUGCAUUUCCAUGGUCUACGAAAUUUACUGAAGGAAUGUUUUUAAUUCUGAAUAUCUUCUUCUCUUUGACGAAAUUUACUGAAGGAAUGUUUUUAAUUCUGAAUAUCUUCUUCUCUUUGACAAUAUACCAUGUAUAGACUACCGCAAAAUUAGUAGAGAUAGUUUCCAUACAGAUUGUUUCCAUAUUCUGGAGGACUUCCAUUGCCGGAGUAUCUUGCCACCAUAGUGUCCCGUGCCAAUGACAUAAUGUGUUGUGGAGACACUUCAAAUGGCACUAGGCAUGUGUUGUACCUGUCCCAUGAAAGUUGCUCUCCAUAUUUAGAAGCGGGAAUCAUUCUUGGGGAUGGAGAUACAUAUGAAGAAGAAUAAAACCCUAAUCAAAGGGGUGAAAUCUUCCACAUUUGAUCACCAAAUUAGGUGGCUUAAGCAUUCAAGUGCAACAUGAAAUGAACUGCCUCCGUACAAGAGUAGUUAGAAGCAAUCUGGAUGUUGCAAUCCUAAUGGGCCAAGAGUUGGAUUAUAGAACUAGAAAUGCUUGUAGUCUUAUAGAUGUGGCUAGCUGCCGAGGCACAAUCCCCUUGAAAACUAGUGGUUUUUUAGCAUGAUUUGCAGGCUUCCGUUAUAGAUAUUGUAUGGGAAGUGAUUUCCCAACUCUCUUUCUUACCUCGUACAACUCCCUUUUUUCUUAGGUUUAGGGUUGGAUAAAUUAAAGGAGAAUCAAUUAAAAGAACAAAAGGUGAAUGCAUAAGGAGAAAACGAAUGAAACCCUAAUCAAAGUUGUGAAAUCUUCCACAUUUGAUCGCCAAAUUACUGAUGGAGAUGCUGCUUUCUCCUUGUAUUUAGGGUUGGAUAAAUCAAAGGAGAAUUAAACGAAAGAAACAAAAGAUGAAUAACGUGAUUGCAGGAGGAGAAAACGGGAAUGUGAAGAUCACUACCCUAUUUAAUUUGUCUUUUAUUGUAGGUUGCACUGCCUGUAGAACUGUAGAAGAGCAAAGACAGUGCAUGAUGAGAAUAGACAGUGCAUGGUGUCAUGUCUAUUGGUGUUAGAAAUUUGAUCCGAGUCUUUCCUUUUUGGAUUACAGUGAAGGACUGAGGCUUAUGCUAUAUCGUCCCUCCCAAUGCUAAGCACUAGCUAGUGGGCUGCCGAUUACAUCACAUGGGCUUUGAACUCUGUCAAUUAUUUCAAAAGACCUUUGCCUCUUCAAUGAGAGCCUCUAACCCAUAAUCCUAUGCUCCUAGAGCUAGAGCUUCUCCCCACCCUUCUUGGCAUUAACACACAGCUGGGAUAUACUUUUGUAUCUGUUUCUUCACGUGAUUAAUGAUUCGUUUGAUUGCUUUCUUCAAAAGGCACUUAUACUGUAACUGCUUUUGUUGUAAACACUUUGAUUUUUUUUUAUUGAACAUCCAAAGUGUUACACAGAAAAAAGCACUUAAAAAGUGCCUCCUGAAAGAGCAUAUGAUAGGUGCUUCUCUAAAAAACACUAUUACGAGCCAAAAGCACUUCUAAAUUUUUUUUGCCAAGCACAACAUAAAACGCUUUUGGCUUUUAUAGAAGCAAUCUCAAACGAGCCCUAAGUAAAAAGAGGUUUAUAUAGGCCACUAGACCCAAACGAAAGAGAAAACUAAUAGUGGGCAAUGAAUUGGUUUUCGAUCUACCGUCAAAUUGGCAUAGAUUAUGAUUCUCUCCCUUCUUCUUUCCAUCCCCUCCUCUCACAUUCUCUAUUUUGUCUUUCUCUUUCUAUAAAAACUUAAUAUAAGAUGUUGACGUAGCUUAACCGUGACCGUUCAAAUAAGAGGGGAGGGAAGGGGAGGGAAGAAAAGAGGGGAGAGAAUCCUACUCCAAUUGGCACAACAUUCGGCAUUGUUUUGCAAGGAUGCUUUCUUCUUAGCAUUGAUUUACACACACUCUAGUAUGUGGUAUAAAACGAGCGAGGGUUUGGCUGGAGAACGAGUCUGAGUCGUUAAUGCCAUGUGGGCUGGAGGGUUUCAUUUGGUGCCAUUACUCCUUUUCGUGUUUCUAUCAUCCUUUUGGAACUGGAAGAGAAGUGGAGGGGAAAAAGGUAGUUUAGGGCAAAAAGGAUAUUGAGUUUAUAAACCAGGAAAAUGGCUAAGCAAUUAUUUGGUGCCAAUGUGACCCUUACCAAAAUAUAGACUAGUUGUGGUAAAAAAGAAAAAGGCAAAAGGGGGUAACUUUAAAUACAAAUUGUACCAAAGUGUAAAUUGUCCCACAGCUUGUCCAGGGACCAGAUCAUUGAGUUGUUGCUGCAAGCCUGCAAGGAGAAAGUUGUGGAUUAGAUAGACGCAUCGUCUUCGUUUGGUAUCAUUCCAAGUCGUCCUGGGUGUUUCUUCUUCAAUUUGGCCUCUUUCUUCCUUUGGAUUUUUGAGCUCAUGAGCAAAUUGAUUGUCGUUUUCUGUUUCCUGAAGACAAAAUUUGACUGUUUGAAAAAACACUUUUUCAUGAAAAAUUAGUUUGAAAUCUAUUCUACACCUAAAUGGACAUCAAUCAUUAAUUUUGUGUUAACUAAGAAUGUAUGUAUGAAUUCUUGUAUUAGGAUUUAGUAGUAUCUCUCUUUAUUUUUAAGUGAGAAACCUUAAGUUUGAUUCUCAUAAAUUACGAGUUCGAAACCAAACUCUUCUCGGCCCAUUAGUGUAACUCUGUUAGGCUUUCAUCCCUGAUAUCGUUGUAUAACAAAACUAUAUGCAUGAAUUAUUACUUGAGGACGGAGGAAAAAACAAAUUCACUUGACUUAUUUCCAAAUUAAGGCUUUAUUUCUUCCUGAUUUUAGAAUUACCUGAUUAUCUAGCCUAUGCUCAUACCACAUUGAACUUCAACGAUUCAAACUGUUUAUUUUUUAAGUUGCACCUCAUAGAUCAUUUUUGUGAAAUAUUAGCUAAAUUAAAAAUAUAUGAGGUAUCUAAUUGAGUACAAAAAAAAAUUGACGAACACUAUAUAUUCUAAGAAGCAUAUGAAAUUUCAUCUUAACAAUUAAAUAGGCAAAUAAUUUCGGAUUGAAUUAAAUUUUUGUAAGGAUUGUCUAUUAAUUAAGACUUAUAAAAUAGAAGGUACAUAUCGUUGAAAUUUAAUAUACUGUAAGCUCCACAACUAAUCCUCAUUUAAAAAAAAUAGAAAUCCCUUGUUAAGGCAUGUGCUUUUGAGUAGGUAAAAUUUGAAACGUGAGAUGUCGUUCACUAUGGAAACAAAGAUCGAAAGCCUUCAUGGUCCCAUUCCUUGAAUCAGAACAAAAGAACUUUAAAGAAAAGUCCUUUAACUCUGUCCAACUUUGGAUACUUUUGUUCAUGCAUGCAUUCACUGACUGAUCUGAUCUCGUUGUUUUGAAGGGAAGAGAUUUUUCAGUGUAAUCGGUAUAUGAGUUGGUACAUCACUUGUUAAUAUACAAAUGAUGAGAUAUAUGUGUUAAAAAGUUAAUAACUUAAAAAAUAAAAUUUUCCACCACUUACAUAAAAACAUGUGAUAUACUACUUGUAUUUCCGUCACAAUGAAAAAUUUCUCCUUGAAGGAUAAGAGAGGAAAUUCCAGACUAAACUACGUGGCACUACAUGCAGCAUGUCAAUUACAUCAACUCUUCAAGCUUUCAACCCUUUCAUGGCAUCUUCAAAGCAUAUGCCUAACUUCUUAGAAAUAUGACCAACAUCUAACAUUUUUGUAAUCCAUAAAGAAAUACAUACGUUAACAUUUAGAAACAAAAUCCAGACAAUAAGAGAGAGAUGGCUGUCCAGAAAAAAAGUAAGAGACAGAUGCAUCCAUUGAUAUAAAAAAGAAAGAAAAAAGAGAUGCAUCAACAACUCAAUAUUUAUUACCUAUUGAAUCGCAGUUUUACAUACAUAUCAUUGCUAAUGAGAUUGGCACUAUUAGUUAUCGAGGACAUAGCAAUCUGUAUUGUAUUUACAAUUAUAUGAGUUAAACUUCAUACAUCCUCCGAUUAAAUGACAAUAACUACUAUAAAAAUGUUUAUAUGUAAGUAGGCUACAUAAAUACACAUAAACAAAUAAGUUCUUGUAUAUAUGCUAUACUUUGAUUUGUUUAUAACAGGAAAAGGUUCCACAUUAUUGCUAGCUAGGCUAAGCUCACAUCCCUCUCACUUAAUGUAGAUAAUAUCAUUUGUUAAAAAUAAAAAAAAGACUCAACAAGGAAUCACUAUUUGUUUCUUUAUAACCAUAAAUUUAUGUAGAGCAACCGAUUGAGUAUCUCAAAGUUCUUAUUCGUAUACAACACACGUUGAGACAGGUAAUAAUUAUAACAAAAUUAAAGACUAUAAUCUUAUAACGUUUUUAGAUUAGCUAAAACAUUGGUAUACAUAUUUAGCUUGCUAAAAACAUAUGUCGAAAUGUGCCACACCUGGAGGAUUUGUAACAAAUUCAUCGUUUUAGAACAAUAAGAAAUGACACGUUGCCUGUAAGAAUUUUAUAGUUUGUUGAAUGCCAUCAACAUCCAUCACGUUUGAAAAUAUGGGCGGCAUUGUCUGGGUUGUAAGACCCCUAUAUUCGUUUGUUCCUGUGCUAAACAAGGAUGGCCUCCCUUGCCCUCCUCUUUAGAUUUCUGUUAGGAUGAGAUUAAGGUGACUUGGGGCUUGUUCCAAGUUUGUGUUUUCUACCUUCUUCUCAUUGUGUAGUUCUUGUUGGUCUCUCUAGGCCUUCUGUUUCUUUUGGCUUCGGCCCUGGUAUUGAUUUUCCCAGUUUCUCAAAAAAAAAAAAAAAAAAAAGUUAUGGGAGUCCCUCUCUCACAUUAAUAAAGUCUGGACCCAAGAAAAAGCAAAAGGAUCCGGCAAGGAUCCGUUUGCCGGAUCCUUUUCCACAGGUUUGGGUACAUUAAUGAUCACUACAAGAAAAAGGAAAAGGAUCCGGCAAUAAAGUUUGGACCCAAGAAAAAGGAAAGGGAUCCGGCAGGGAUCCGUUUGUUGGAUCAUUUCAAAAUUUAAAAUUUAAAAUUAAAUAUAAAUAAUACCUACAAAAACUGACCGCACAAUGUAUGAUGAACGAUCACGAUCACGGGAUCCCUAGGAAAAGAAUCCGGCGAGGAUCCUUUUCCCGAGAAAAGUAGGCUUUAGUCACGAUUUGUUAAGAUUAAUCUAACCUAAAAGCUAUACCACAUUCUAAACACAAAAUUUGGUAAGAAUAUGAUGAUUUAUUUUAUUUUCUCAAACUAUAGAGCAGUUACGUACUCACACACCGGCGACAAUUAUCCUCCCCCAAAUCUGGGUAUAUUUCUACUAAAAAAAAUGUUUACAUAUAGAAACCGUAUAGUAAGUUUAUUGAAAUUGGCUCUGUAUUAAUGGAAUCUCCGCAUCCGUACAUUAAAUUAGAGUGGAACUCGAGGAAAUGGAGUACAUACGAAGAUAAGAAGACGAAGAAGAAAACUACAAACUUGGAGCUUCAAGGAGAGGGACUGAGCAGGGAGUAUAAAGAAAACAUUGUAUUUUUCUUCGAAGAUCUUUCACAUUUUCUUCUUGGUUUCAAGGAGAGGGAACUGAGCAGGGAGUAUAAAGAGCCAAAGCCCAGAAUUCCACAAUGAAAAAGAAAACAUUGUAUUUUUCUUCGAAGAUCCUUCACAUUUUCUUCUUCGCUUUACAGAAUCAAAUAGCAUAUUCUCACCCCCAAGAAACGAUAUAAGAAAACAGCCAAAUUAAGGUAAAUUCGAUAUAAUGCAUUUUUUUAUAGCAACUUGGCAAACAAAAACAUAGUAGAAGAAAACAAGGAAUAUACAAAGAAAUUAAGGAAGUUUGGGAAAACGAAGAAAUAUAAUAAAGGACCAACUCUCAAUGAGUUUAUAAUACUAUAUACGGUGCAAAUGUAUAUGUUCAGGAAAUAAACUUUUAGCGAAAAUAAGCUGCAAAUUUGACUAAAUUUUUCUUCAUAUUUACACUCAAUUUUUUUCAAGAAUAUAUAUAGAGUUUGGCCAAAGGAAUUAACUUCGUUCCUUAACGAUUGAGGAGGAGUUCCUCCCCAAUUCACAUUGUGGCUGAUUAUGGACCUUCAUUCUUAUAAUCGGAAGAGUAUAGAAACUACUCUUUUUAUCGUCGAAUCCGGAAGGAAGAAGUGGUUGUAGCUUUGAAGAAGAUGAAGCAUAAAAAAGCAAUAGGCCCAGACGAUAUACCAAUCGAAGUGUGGAAACUUUUGGGAGAGACGGGUAUAACAUGGCUCACUGACCUUUUCAAUAGGAUUUUGAAAACGAAGAAGAUGCCAAAUGAGUGGCGAACGAGCACUUUGGUGCCUAUCUACAAGAAUAAGGGCGACGUACAAAAUUGCAUGAACUAUAGGGGUAUUAAGCUAAUGAGUCAUACAAUGAAGCUCUGGGAGAGAGUCAUUGAGCAUAGAUUGAGGCAAGAGACACGGGUUUCGGACAACCAAUUCGGGUUCAUGCCAGGGCGCUCAACCAUGGAGGCAAUCUAUCUCUUACGAAGAUUGAUGGAAAGAUAUAGAGAUGGGAAAAAGGAUUUACACAUGGUCUUUAUAGAUUUGGAAAAAGCGUAUGAUAGGGUCCCAAGAGACAUUCUUUGGAGGAUUUUAGAGAAGAAAGGAGUACGAGUAGCAUAUAUCCAAGCUAUAAAGGAUAUGUAUGAAGGAGCAAAGACUGCCGUAAGAACUCAUGAAGGACAAACCGAAAGCUUUCCCAUAACUGUAGGAUUACAUCAAGGCUCAUCCUUAAGUCCUUACCUUUUUGCGUUGGUAAUGGAUGAGUUAACAGGACAUAUUCAAGAUGAUAUUCCUUGGUGUAUGCUUUUCGCAGACGAUAUAGUGUUGAUAGAUGAAACUCAGGAAGGGGUAAAUGCAAAGCUUAACCUUUGGAGAGAAGUGUUGGAAUCUAAAGGUCUUCGCCUAAGCCGAUCAAAGACAGAAUAUAUGGAGUGCAAGUUCAGUGCAAAUGGAGGCCAAAACGAGUUAGGGGUGAGGAUCGGAGAUCAAGAAAUACCAAAGAGCGACCGUUUUCGUUACCUAGGAUCUAUCUUGCAAAAGAACGGAGAAUUAGAUGGAGAUCUCAACCAUAGAAUACAAGCUGGAUGGAUGAAGUGGAAGAGUGCAUCCGGCGUGUUGUGUGACCGCCGUAUGCCACUGAAGCUCAAGGGAAAAUUUUAUAGGACGGCAAUAAGGCCGGCGAUGCUGUAUGGCACAGAAUGUUGGGCGGUGAAACAUCAACACGUACACAAAAUGGGUGUAGCGGAGAUGAGGAUGCUUCGUUGGAUGUGUGGGCACACGAGAAAGGAUAAGAUUAGGAAUGAGGAUAUCCGGGGUAAAGUAGGAGUAGCCGAAAUUGAAGGAAAGAUGAGAGAAAAUCGGUUACGGUGGUUUGGACAUGUGCAAAGAAGGCCUACUGACGCUCCGAUUAGAAGAUGCGACUAUGGGACAGAGGUUCAGGGCCGAAGGGGUAGAGGAAGACCUAGGAAAACUUUGGAAAGAGACUCUAAGAAAAGACUUAGAGUACUUGGAUCUAACGAAGGACAUGACACAGGAUCGAGCACAAUGGCGUUCUAAGAUUCAUAUAGCCGAUCCCACUCAGUGACUUGGAUUUUCCAAGUCUCCAACCGAGAAGUUUUCCUCACUCGGGAAAUUAAGGGAACACUACCCCAACCUACAUGCUCCACUCAGAAAGCUUCAACAUACAAGCUUCAACAAAAGAAAAUUCAAAGAACUUAGCGAAGAAGGCUUUGGUGUAUUUAACACAAUACGUUGAAAUGAAGGAAAGCUUAUUUAUUGAUAUCCCCGAUAAGCUACAAAUAUGUACAUAUACAUGAGUCAAAAUAAACACACAAGAGGGAGCCUUCACAAAGGUUGCUUAGGAGAAGUCUCAGCAGUCGGUAGAGCCCCAGAAAGAGAAGGCACCGGAGGGGGAUCAUUUGGAGCCUCAGUACUGGACAGAACCCUAGAAGGAGGAGGCAUCAGAGGUUGAUCAUUUGGAGCUUCAUUACGCGGUACAGCCCCAGAAGACGAAGGCAAUAAAUGCCUUUGGAACAAACCCACAAAUCUCUGAUGAUCAAGUAAAACCUGACCAUCAGUUUCCUUCAUCUGGUCAAGCUUCCUCUUCAUGUUUGUAGCAUAGUCAUGUGCGAGCCGGUGCAACUGUUUAUUCUCAUGCUUGAGCCCUCUAAUCUCCUGUUUGAGACUCAUCACUUCAGCCGCCAAUGAUUCAACUUGGCGGGUUCGAGCAAAUAGGCGUUGGGCCAUAUUAGACACAGAACCUGCACACUGAACACUGAGAGCCAGCGAAUCCUUAACAGCUAACUCAUCAGACCGUUUGGAAAGUAGUCUGUUAUCUUUGGGAGUGAGAAGGUUCCUGGCCACCACCGCAGCGGUCAUAUCAUUCUUCAUCACGGAAUCCCCAACGGUAAGAGGACCAGUAGGGGAGACGAAGGAUGGGCGCCAUAUGUUGUCUGGAGAAGGCGGGGCUGCCUCUUCAACAAGGUUCAAGUCAAAACGACGGUCGGAGGGGCCAGACAUUUUCAAAGGUGUUGAAGAGAGAAGAGGUCGGACAAAUCAAGAUCUUAGAAGUGCAAGAAUGAAGCUUCUACUGGUGGAGAUUCAAGUGUGCUUUGGAACUUAAUGCCAGCCCCUAUAAAAAUCUGCACUCGACGGAGCUCGCCUGCUCAGAAAUCGAAGAGGCGUUUGCUUUCUCAAAAGCUGGGCUGCUUAGAGAUCACGAGGGUUGAUCUCAGAAAUCGAAGAGGCGUUUGCUUUCUCAAAAGUUGGGCUGCUCAAAGACCACGAAGGCCGAUCUCAGAAAUCGAAGAGGCGCUCGCUUUCUCAAAAGCUGGGCUCCCCAGAGACCACGAGGGCCGAUCUCAGAAAUCGAAGAGGCACCUACUUUUCCAGCCUUGUCAGCACCUGUCACACGCACACUCAGCUUUGCGGAAAUUAUGGGCAUUCUGUCGAAGACUUCUGGGGAAGUAGAAAACACAUGAAUCUUACUGUUCAAUCACCCACUUCCCACACGCAACAAUAGCUCAUGGGUACCACAGAUAACUUUGCCAAAGUUCUCUGCCAAAGUUGAGCACGUGAAGCUUGCAGCUCCCACUACAUCGCUCUGACCAAGAAGGGUAAAAGAAUAGCAAAGAAACAGCACUAACAAAGUUUAGACCCAUAAAUUUUGAAGGUCUAGCUACCAUAUUAUUACCCACAAGGGUAAAGGAACAGUACCACUGCUGGAUAAUUGGAAAGUCCCUGUGUGUCAACCUCUGUGCUUCGUGGCAAGGUAGACUAGCAAACAUGCCCAACCUUUACUCACAUUCGAGAAAACACUCCCAAUAAGAUUGCUUGCUCCAAAAUCGAAGAGGCACCGUCCUCCGAAUCUCGAGAGCCAGACUCCCAACAUGACUACUUUCUUAAAAAUCGAAGAGAGGGUAAAGGAACAGUACCAUUGCUGGAUAAUUGGAAAGUCCCUGUGUGUCAACCUCUGUGCUUCGUGGCAAGGUAGACUAGCAAACAUGCCCAACCUUUACUCACAUUCGAGAAAACACUCCCAACAAGAUUGCUUGCUCCAAAAUCGAAGAGGCACCGCCCUCCGAAUCUCGAGAGCCAGACUCCCAACAUGAUUACUUUCUCAAAAAUCGAAGAGACACUGCUCCCCGAAUCUUCGAGAGCCAGACCCCCAGCAUGAUUGCUUUCUCAAAAAUCGAUGAGGCAUCGUUCUCCGAAUCAAUCGAAGAGGCGCUCGCUUUCUCAAAAGCUGGGCUGCUCAGAGACCACGAGGGCCGAUCUCAGAAAUCGAAGAGGCACCUACUUUUCUAGCCUUGUCAGCACCUGUCACACGCACACUCAGCUUUGCAGAAAUUAUGGGCAUUCUGUCGAAGACUUCUGGUGAAGUAGAAAGCACAUGAAUCUUACUGUUCAAUCACCCACUUCCCACACGCAACAAUAGCUCAUGGGUACCACAGAUAACUUUGCCAAAGUUCUCUGCCAAAGUUGAGCACGUGAAGCUUGCAGCUCCCACUACAUCGCUCUGACCAAGAAAGGUAAAAGAAUAGCAAAGAAACAGCACUAACAAAGUUUAGACACAUAAAUUUUGAAGGUCUAGCUACCAUAUUAUUACCCACAAGGGUAAAGGAACAGUACCACUGCUGGAUAAUUGGAAAGUCCCUGUGUGUCAACCUCUGUGCUUCGUGGCAAGGUAGACUAGCAAACAUGCCCAACCUUUACUCACAUUCGAGAAAACACUCCCAACAAGAUUGCUUGCUCCAAAAUCGAAGAGGCACCGUCCUCCGAAUCUCGAGAGCCAGACUCCCAACAUGACUACUUUCUCAAAAUCGAAGAGAGGGUAAAGGAACAGUACCAUUGCUGGAUAAUUGGAAAGUCCCUGUGUGUCAACCUUUGUGCUUCGUGGCAAGGUAGACUAGCAAACAUGCCCAACCUUUACUCACAUUCGAGACAACACUCCCAACAAGAUUGCUUGCUCCAAAAUCGAAGAGGCACCGCCCUCCGAAUCUCGAGAGCCAGACUCCCAACAUGAUUACUUCCUCAAAAAUCGAAGAGACACUGCUCUCCGAAUCUCGAGAGCCAGACCCCCAGCAUGAUUGCUUUCUCAAAAAUCGAAGAGGCAUCGUUCUCCGAAUCUCGAGAGCCAGAUACCACAGACCACUUUUUCAAAGUGCUCUGACAGAGUUAAAACAUGUGAAACUGGCAGCUCCCACUACCGUGCUAUGACCAAGCAGGGUAAAGGAAUAGCAUUACUACUUGUUGUUAGGGAGACUCCUAUAUAUGUCGACCUCCAUCCCCAACGGACAGGCAGACCUGCAAAAAUGCUCAACCCUUCAUCAUAUCUGAGAGGGCACUCCCAACGAAGCCUUUCGAAAUAUUCAGCUUUCUUUCCCCCCGAUAAUACCUCUGCAAACAAGCUAUACUAGAGCAAGAAUAUCUCAUAUCAUCAGGGUUAAAAGCAAGAGUAUCCCAUAUCAUGCUUUUUCCCUGUCUUUUCCUUUGGCCUUGUUUUUACCUGCAAGACAAGGAGAAAGAGAGCAAUCAGUCAGCACUUGGAAUCAAGCUUCCAGCCAGGAACUGACUGCCUGGAACCCCUUACCUGAUUACUUACCUGGCAUUGCUCUCGAGUACUCAUCUUCAACAUCUUAUGUUUCCAGGGAAGAUUCCGCAUCUGCUUGAGGAACAGAUAGGGCAAGUGCGAAGGAUACAAGGAAGCAUGUGGAGACAAGCGUAACAGCACACGUGCCGAUACAUCCAUUACUCUGUCAAAAGCAAAAGUAUCCCAUAUCAGCAGGGUGGAACGUACUCUAGAUUUGAUGGACUUGUUUUGACCCUCAAAUUCUUCAGUCGGCCUUAUACUCUGGAGGAAACCAGAAAACCCUCCAGCUCAGUUCAAGAAUAAGCCUGUGGAAAGUUACUUCUUCAAAAGCAAAAGUAUCUCAUAUCAUCUCUUCUCAUUUUUCUUCUCUUUAUCCUUCAUGCUGCUGCAAGAUGGGGAGAAGGUGAACAAUCAGUCGGAGCUCUGAUUGCUUACCUUGUCUGUCACCUCUUUCAGCAGACCCCCUAGCUCGGCGACUUGGGGGACUCCUACUACAUGGUUUGUAUCGCGCUUGACCAAGCCUGAAACUACAAGUAAGCUUCAAGUGAAAUUGAUACAUUACCUUGUGCAUCUCCACCAGUUAAAGAUACCACCCCUGGAUGGAGGAAGAGUACUUCCAGAGAAGAUGCCACAUCUACCUAUGAGACAGAUAAGGCAAGUCAAGACGACACCACACUCCGAUACUUAGAAGUUUCGUGAUUACGAGAUCAUUCUCCCACAAUAUUUCCUAAUGUCAUUUGUACUAAAUCAUUCACUUGUACUCACUAAAGGAGAGCUUGAACCUAUGUACUUGUGUAAACCCUUCACAAUUAAUGAGAACUCUUCUAUUCCGUGGACGUAGCCAAUCUGGGUGAACCACGUACAUCUUGUGUUUGCUUUCCUAUCUCUAUCCAUUUAUAUACUUAUCCACACUAAUGACCGGAGCAAUCUAGCGAAGAUCACAAAAAGCGACCGUUUUCGCUACCUAGGAUCUAUCUUGCAAGAGAACGGAGAAUUAGAUGGAGAUCUCAACCAUAGAAUACGAGCUGGAUGGAUGAAGUGUAAGAGUGCAUCCGGCGUGUUGUGUGACCGUCGUAGGCCACUGAAGCUCAAGGGAAAAUUUUAUAGGACGGCAAUAAGGCCAGCGAUGUUGUAUGGCACAGAAUGUUGGGCGGUGAAGCAUCAACACGUACACAAAAUGGGUGUAGCGGAGAUGAGGAUGCUUCGUGGGAUGUGUGGGCACACGAGAAAGGAUAAGAUUGGGAAUGAGGAUAUCCGAGGUAAAGUAGGAGUAGCCGAAAUUGUAGGAAAGAUGAGAGAAAAUCGGCUCCGGUGAUUUGGACAUGUGCAAAGAAGGCCGAAUGACGCUCCGGUUCGAAGAUGUGACUACGGGACAGAGGUUCAGGGCCGAAGGGGUAGAGGAAGACCUAGGAAAACUUUGGAAGAGACUCUAAGAAAAGACUUAGAGUACUUGGAUCUAACGGAGGACAUGACACAAAACCGAGCGCAAUGGCGUUCUAGGAUUCAUAUAGCCGACCCCACUUAGUGGGAAAAGGCUUUGUUGUUGUUGUUGUUGUUGUAUUCUUAUAAUCGGAAUUAUUCAUAUUAUAAAUUACUGUGUCAAUAUCAUCUCCACAAAAAAAAUCAAUUAAAUAUAAGAUCGUUUGGUCAUGAAACUGUGUAAAAAUAGAUGAACCGAUCCGGUACAUGAAUUCCGAAACUUCUAUCUACUUGCUAUAAUUUAUUGACUAAACAAUCUUAGUUUUAAUUAAUUUUUUUUAGAGAUGAUCUUUAAUUAUAAAGUAAUUUAUAAUAUGAAUGAUUCUGAUCAUAAGUACGAACUUCUUCUCAAUCUUGAGAAGCCAAGCCUUCCUCAAAAGUUAAAUAAAAAACAAAACCAAAAUGAUGCUCGGCUUCCUGGGUACUCAGCUAAACUCUCCACCUCCUUUCAUCUUACAAGCUUCUAGAUUUAGAUUUGUCUCAAAUGACAUGCCAACUAAUCUGCCCAGCUCAAUUUUGAUUCUUUGAAAUUUCCAGUGCCUCUACUUUUUCAUUUCUAAAUCUUACUUACUCCCAUUAUAUAUAAUUAGUUUUUUUUAUAUAUAUAGAUUUAUAAAGAUGCUUUGUCUAGAUAUGAAAGACAUAGUAGUGAUUCAAAGAGAUCAUUUGGAGCCAAAAAUAGUUAGGUGUAGUCAAAUUCGGAUUUGAGAGUAUUUUAAAAGACUUUAAAAUCCUAGUAUAGUCAAUUAAAAGAUUUUAAAGGAUUUUAAACUCUAUCCAAAUCUAAGUGUAUUAAAAAAAUUAAGAUUUUGGAGGAUUUCAAUAAGUUGUGGAUUUUGUAGGAUUUGAAAGCAAGAAGUAUGUCACAGUCCCGGAGAUGUACGUUAAUUAUUUAUCGGAGGUGUGAAAAGUCGGAGUUACCCCUGGACGUUGAGUUGUAUUAUUGGUUUAAUUGUGUUUUUGGACCAAUAUUAUUAAAUCCUAAUUGUUUGGAAUCAAUUAGGAUUAGAGUUUGGUGUAUUGUGGGUUGUUGACUAUUUUGGACCACACAUCACUCCAUUCUCUCUCUCACUCCCGUGCACUCUCUCUCGGUUUCACUCUCUCUCUCCUUUGAACUCGUACGGACAAUCACCCAAAACCCUUGAAACUUCACGGAUCGUGGUCAAGGUUGGCACCAUUGUGUUCGUGAAGCUCAGACGAGUCGAUUGGUACCCAUUUCAGGUAAAGAUACCUUCGAAAACCCUAGUUUUUCAUAACCCCCGAUUUGUGCAUUGUUCAUGCACACGUAAUUAUGGAUGGUUUUGGAAUUUGAAGCUUGUAGGAAGCUUAGUGAGGUCCUAAGGAAGCUCGAAGUGCUUCGUUUGAAGGUUUUGGACGUUGGGAUCGUGUGGAUGAAGUUUGGCCAGUUUUUCUUGGAAUUCUCCGGUGAGAUCCCGUGACUUUUAAAACUUUAAAUUAGUAUGAUUGUGUUCUACAAGUUAAGAGCUUCAUUUUGGUAUAAAUUGCGUAAAAAAUGGUGCAAAAAUGAGCAAUAAAUAGGCAGUUGCAGGUUUGCCCAAAAUCCGGUGCCGGUGACACUAUUCCAGCAUCUGGAGGUUGAAGAUGCCGCGCGUGGGGGGCGCGUUUUGCCAUGCCCUUGCCGGAUGAUUGUGUUCUACAAGUUAAGAGCUUCAUUUUGGUAUAAAUUGCGUAAAAAAUGGUGCAAAAAUGAGCAAGAAAUAGGCAGUUGCAGGUCUGCCCAAAAUCCGGUGCCAGUGACAUUAUUCCGGCGUCUGGAGGUUGAAGAUGCCGCGCGUGGGAGGCGCGUUUUGCCGUGCCCUUGCCAGCGCAUGGGAGCUUGAAAAUUUUAUCUAAAAAUUUAGGGAUGAUCCUGAGGUUGUAUAGGUCACUGUGGUGUAUUCAUAUACCUAUUUUGAGCAAUGUAUGAAAAGUUAUUAGUUAGUUUCACCUAUGUGCUUUAAAAUAACGUUUUUAUAGUUAAUUCGCAUAUAGGUGAGGCUUAUCCCAAGGACGAGCGUAUCCACGGGCGACUCGGGGGCUACGACCCUUCGACAUACCAGUGAGUGGGAUUUUGUUUUCAGUAUAUACUUAUACACUAGAUAUAUUUCCUAGAAAUGCAUUUUUUUCAAGGAAACUAUGCUUUGAAAUAGUAUGCCAAAUGCUUUUAUAUUCUGAAUAUGCAUUUCAUGGUUGCAUAUAUAUAUAUAUAUAUAUAUAUAUAUAUAUAUAUAUGUGGUGUUGUGGAGGCACAGGUAAGUUCAGGUAAGUUAUGUUUGGUUAUAUGAAUCAUCGAUAAAGUGAUAUGUGAUUGAAUAAUGUUGAGCUUAUAAAACUGCACCUAAGGUGAUUGUGAUUUAGCCAGAGAUGUGAAGUACAUGCCUGUUUAUUUACGUCACCUCCCGCACUAUAUGCUCAUAUUGGAUCUAAUUUAAGUGCACAGUUUUGUCGUACAGACCUUAUUUAUGGUUCCGACUCGUAGGUGACUAGCGAUUUAUCGCCCGGCUAUUAUGAGAGAGUAAAAUUGAGCAUAAUUAUAUUACACCCAAUCUUGUCUUACAGACCCCUUUUUAGUGGUUCCGACUUAUGUGCAGUACAUUGCCGUAUAGGUCAUUGUAGUGACUCCGGCUAGAUUGACUUUGAGCUAUGAAUUCAACCGUACAGACUAUCACAGGGGUUCCGGCUAACAUAUCAUAUUUCUAUGAAUUUAUUCUUACCUGAAUUGUUUACUCUGUUAUAACUUGGCAUAACAUACAUUUAAAUAUGAUUAUGUGAAGCAUGAAUUGAAUUGAUAUGAUUUCAUAUAUAUAUAUAUAUAUAUAUAUAUAUAUAUAUAUAUUAUGUAUAUGCUUAUAUCUUGGUUUUGGGAAAAAUUAUACAUGUUUGACAGCGAGGGGUUAGUAUAUUGAUAAAUGAAAUGGUUUUGUAAAACAUUUGUUUUUGCCCACUCACGUUUUCUGUUUUGCUCCCUUCCAGGUUUUAACUAAGCUUGCUGUUGGUGGCUUGAGGACGUCGGCAGUUUUGACUUAUCUAAAUAAUAGUAGGACAUUGCUGGUACUGUAUAGCUAGUACUUGUCUUACUGGACUACACCUAGACUUUAUGCUCUGAUUAGGAGUGUUUACUGUUGUAACUAACUUCUAUCACUUUCUGUUUAGUAGUGCACUCUAGUAAAUUGGUUUUCAAUUAUUCGUAUAAUUCUUAUCAUUAUCGCUUCCGCACUGUGCACAUGGCUACGCACCCUCACGUGACGGUCAUCAUGGCUUGAUCUCGGUCGGGGUGUGUCAAAGUAUAUAUAACCAAGACUAAAAAUAAUCCAACCUCACCCUCUAGAAUUUCAAAUCAUUUUCCAUCUGAGCAGUCCUCAGAUCUCUACCAACCCCAGCUACACACAGGUAACCACCAUAUACUUUGGUGGAAUCUCUUAUUAUGACCCUUAGACUUUAAUUAGGCAUGUAUGAUCAUCGAAGGACAUGAUCGAUCUAGGAUUUUGGUUAAUACUACUCUCACACCAUUUUGAUUUUUUUUAAUGUUUGUGGUACUACAAGCACUAUUAAAGUACCACAGCAUCCAUUUGUGGGAAAAUGGCAGUCGGUGGUGAUGGUUGUUGGUGGUUUAGUGCUCAAAAGCUCACCAAAGUUAUAUUGAUCUAUCAAUUGAGAAAGAGAUAGAGCCGUGGUUGUGUGAAAGGGGACCCGAAAAGGGAGGGGAUAAAGUGGUUAUCGAGUACAGUAGGGCAAGGGGAAAGAUUUUUCCUUUUAUUUUCAAUUAAAAAAUUAUAUUAAUAUUAUCACAUCCCAUGCUCGACUCCACCGUAGCACGAUAUUGUCCGCUUUAGGCCCCGACCACGACCACAUGGUUUUGUUUUUGUGAACUCACGCGAGAACUUCCUAGUGGGUCACCCAUCUUGGGAUUGCUCUCGCGCGAACUCGCUUAACUUUUGAGUUCCGAUGGAAUCCGAAGCCAGUGAACUCCCAAAAAGCCUCGUGCUAGGUAGAGAUGAGAAUAUACAUAUAAGGCUUAGAGGAUCCACUCCCCUGGGCGAUGUGGGAUGUUACAAUCCACCCCCCUUAGGGGUCCGAUGUCCUCGUCGGCACACUUCCGACUAGAGAUUGGCUCUGAUACCAAAUUGUCAUAUCCCGGCCCGGGCCCCCACCACAUCCCAAGCUCGACUCCAUCGUAACAUGAUAUUGUCCGUUUUGGGCCCCGACCACACCUUCACGGUUUUGUUUCUAGGAACUCACACGAGAACUUCCCAGUGGGUCACUCGGUUUUGUUUCUAGAAACUCACAUGAGAACUUCCCAGUGGGUCACCCAUCUUGGAAUUGCUCUCGCGCGAACUCGCUUAACUUCGAAGUUCUGAUGGAACUCGAAGCCAGUGAGCUCCUAAAAGGCCUCGUGCUAGGUAGAGAUAAGAAUAUACAUAUAAGGCUUAGAGGAUCCACUCCCCUAGGCGAUGUGGGAUGUUAUAAUCCACCCCCCUUAGGGGCCCGACGUCCUCGUCAACACACUUCCGACUAGAGAUUGGCUCUGAUACCAAAUUGUCACAUCCCGGUCCGGGCCCCCACCACAUCCCAGGCUCGACUCUAUCGUAGCAUGAUAUUGUCCGUUUUGGGCCCCGACCACGCCCUCACGGUUUUGUUUCUAGGAACUCAGGCGAGAACUUCCUAGUGGGUCACCCGGUUUUGUUUCUGGGAACUCACACGAGAACUUCCCAGUGGGUCACCCAUCUUGGAAUUGCUCUUGCGCGAACUUGCUUAACUUCGGAGUUCCGAUGGAACCCAAAGCCAGUGAGCUCCCAAAAAGCCUCGUGCUAGGUAGAGAUGGGAAUAUACAUAUAAGGCUUAGAGGAUCCACUCCCCUGGACGAUGUGGGAUGUUACAGUAAUAUCAAUAACUUAUUGUUGGGUUCGUUAAGCAAGUGGGCAAUUAGGUCCGUUUAUGAGAGCAUAGGUGAAAUCUUUCGAUGUCGACUAGCACAGCUCAAUUCGGAGUCCUAGUGGACAUUCUGGGUUGGUGUCCAAAAUCCACCACAAUCCACCAAAAUCUACAAACUAAAACUAUUCAAAUUCUUUAAAAUCCAUAUGAAUUUUGUAAAAGUCUUAAAUCCUCCUAAACCCUAUCAAAUUUAUCACUUUUAAAAUCCUUUAAAAUCUUAGUUUGACUACACCCCCUUAGUAUUUUAAAUUGGCUUUACUACAUUGCACAUUGAGAUGAAUUUUUAAAAUGUCCAUCUAGCUUAGCUAGCUACCAUGAAAGCUACAUGAAAGCUGACUGUCAAUUUUCCAAGGGUUUUUCCACAUGAAAUGGCAUGAAAUGGGUUAAUUUCACUUUAAAUAGUUGAUAUAAAAUGAAAACAAAAGUACAACUGGUUGAGAACCUUCCUUUCAUGUUCUCCGUAUCUUAGAGGAUAACAACAGUAGCAAGUUAGGCUGGAUCAAAUACAAGAAUGAACAUGAGAACGUGCAUGCAUGGUUACCUUUUCCUUUUGUUUUUUACAGAGAAUCUUGAGAAGCAGUCAAGGGCAACGUUAUGUUUUUACUACUGAGAUCUGUGUGCUAAAAGGAGAUUACGUAGCUAGGUUCAGUCUUCACCUAACACUCCUAUUAUCACUUGUGACUGUAAAAGAUAUACUGUUGGGGUUGGCUGACGUUAAUUAGUUGUUCAUAUUGAUUUGAGAAAUUUGAUAGAAAUGAGGAUUAACGAAUUACAAUUAGAGCUGGCAAAUAGUUGGGUUUAGUUGGUUUGGGUUAGAUUCACCACUAAUUGAUUUCUACACGGGUCAUUCAAAUUCAAUCCAUUAGCUUAUGCAAUGGUGGAGCGAUGAAUUUUUCACCGGGUGAGCUAGCUUAAAGAUUUAAAUAUUUAUAAAAAAAAAACAUGAUACUGUAUUUUCACCGUAUUAGCUAACUAAAGAAAAUUUUGACAAGGUGAGCCAAGAAUAAACAAAUACUUGUUUAAAUUCAAACAAAUCCAAACUUGUACAUAUACAAGAAUUGAUGAGAAAAAAAGAAUGUAAGAAAAAGAGAUGGUUUGUAAACUGUAUUUUAUAAUUUUAUAUAGUCAAACCGAGAGAAUUUGGAUCAGUGACUAAUAUAUGGUGGACUACAUUCGAAAAUUAAUAAAAAUUACAUGUCAAAUUUUAUUUUUGGGCUAUAGCCCAAAAUAGCCCUUAACAUGGCUCUGCCAGUGAGCUUAUGGUAAAAAUGGUUGACCCGAAAUGACUUGUUUUGUUAACGAGCUAAUCAUUUCAUCCAGUAACGAUUUUUUUUUUUUUUUUUUUUUUUUUUAACAUUCAGCUGAAACCCAACUAUUUCGCGAACUAUUUUAACGGGUCAACCGUUGGUCUAGUUUUGUACUUGCCAACAAAACAAAGAACAUAUGAAAUAGUAAAUUAUUUCAAAGUAAAUCAAAUAGCGACGUAGAUUAUAUAACAACGAGUAAUCGUUUUAACAAUUAAAAAUUUCUUUUCAUUGGUUCAUACAAUUUUCGAAUUGGUAUCAACUUUAGUGUUAUUGUAUGUUUGUACCAUAUUUGACCAAUCCCGAAAUUACUGAGCACCGGUCAACGUUAUACCGUCAAGGACCCAGAAGAGUUUCCCUCCAACUAGGAGGCCAAUCACAGCGUAACACGUGUCGACAUCAGAAGCCAAUCAUAGUGCGACACGUGUCAACAUCAAAAGCCAAUCACAACACGACACGUGUCAAUGUCAGAAUGAAACUAGAAACUCUCUUCUAUAAAUAGAGAUCAUUCUCUCAUAAUAUUUCCUAAUGUCAUUUGUACUAAAUCAUUCACCUGUACUCACUAAAGGAGAGCUUGAACCUAUGUACUUGUGUAAACCCUUCACAAUUAAUAAGAACUCCUCUACUCCGUGGACGUAGCCAAUCUGGGUGAACCACGUACAUCUUUUGUUUGCUUCCCUGUCUCUAUCCAUUUGCAUACUUAUCCACAUUAGUGACCGGAGCAAUCUAACGAAGGUCACAAACUUAACACUUUCUGUUGUACCAAAGUCCUCACUGAUUUUGUGCAUCAACAUAUGGCACCGUCUGUGGGAACGACACUUAUUCCCACUUUCUUCAGCUUUGCCAAGCUGGUUUCCACCAUUCGUACACUCUCUUUUGACCAGGCAUCCCUCUUCAACAUGGGGAGCGAAGGAAGCCACAGCAUACAGAAUGACACCCCUCAUGCACCUAGUGCGAAACAACAAAGGAAGGAAGGAAAGAGGGUUGCUCUUUAAGCUAAAUUCGAUGAGUUAGAAGCUCAGAAUAACAAGAUAGCAAUGAAGAAUGAGGUCCUCUAAGAGCAGUAUGAGAAGCUCUUUGAGACGCUCCACGAAACUAGGCGUACUCAAACACGUGAGCUCGUUGCCCCUAUGGACAUCAACCAUCAUCUGGGUGCCCCCCAACACGGAGGGUCACCUCCCUUCGACAUGGGUAUCCCUAAUGAGGAGCAAGCUAAUCAUCAAAACAUUGAUCAACAUGAGACUUCUCUCAACUCAGAUGUUUCGACCCGAAGUAGAAGAAAUGGAGGAAAACACCUCAUUGCAGAAGGGUUUGAAGGAUCAAAAGUCGUUUAUCGUGAUUGCCGAGACUUCCUAAAGCAACGUCGAGAGAAUCCCCUCCACAUAUGCUCGAAGAUCAAUGACCUAAGGGUUUCUGAAAGACUCGGUCCCUUCUCACGACCCAGGCCAGCUGCUAAUCUAGGGAAGGAAUGACAGGUCCCAGAGGAAUAUGAAGGUACGGAGGACUCUGAGGUAUUCCGAUAGACUCGUCCUAUAAGUCAGUACGGCGAGUCCAAGAAAAAACCACACGCCCUUACUCAAACUUUCCUACUUCCAAGAGGCGAUGGAAACUUACGAAAGAAAAUUCCAGUGGUACAUGACUUUACUCAGGACCCCCUUGUCCUUCAGCUUCUUGUGGAAGUAACCAAGUUGAAGGCCGAACGUCAGGCCGAGAUACCUGACUCGAACCAACCUAGGCAUGGCUCUCUCAUAAGAAGGAUCAUCGACACCCCCUUUCAAGUGAAGACAAAACAAAAGCUUAGUUUACAACUCUAUACUAGAAGGGAGGACCUAAUUGAACACCUUAACCUCUUUGAGGCCACCAUGGCAUAUCGGAUGCAUACUGACGAAGAGUAAUGUCUUCUCUUCCUCUCCACCCUCUCUGGCGGAGCUCUAAACUGGUAUUGCCAUCUUCCACCUGAGACAGUAGACUCAUUUGAGGAAUUGAGGAAACUGUUUGUCUCUCAACACAUCUUCCAGACCGAUCACUUGCAUUCUACGGAUGACUUGUACACUAUUCGCUAGAAGCCGGACGAGUCACUACGAGAGUAUGUCGGUCGCUUCAGCCAUGAGUAUUCUCGCUGCACUGAGGCAGAUGACAAGACCGCCCUCAAGGCCUUCAAGGCAGGCCUACGUGAUUGUUUCUUCAAGUACAUGAUCAAUGCCAACACUUGGAAGACUUACUCUGAGAUGAUGGCACAAGCUUACAACCACGCCUACGCCGAAGUAAAGACAUACCAAGGGAACCCCCAUAUGGUUAACCCCUAUCAAGAAAUGGGAAGUGGAAGUCAAGUUCUACCAAGUGAGGAGAUAUUAGCCUUUCAGACACCCAUUGCAUCAUCUCCUGCCUCAUUUAGCUACUCGCUAAGUCACCAAACGUAUCUGUCUCUUUGUAAGAGGAAGGAUUUUUACUCUCAGCAAGCCCAUUACAGCAAGAGGGAUAAAAGUUCGUAUCAAGACAACCAGGGGUGAACGUACCGUCGAUUAUUAUGUCUAUAGGGCCAUGCCUCACUCUUUCAAAGUGAAGGACUAGGUACUGAAGGAAAUGUUAUUAUAAGAAGGCAUACACAUUACAAAUGUUUUGACUCUUAACCGCUUGAGAUCUUUUGUCACACAAGCCAUUCGGCAAAUAUUUAAAGAAGAGGGAAUUCAUACAACUUCUUCUGAGUCUUUUGCGUUCCUAGCACUGGAACACUUGGUCUACAUUGACCUACCCUUAUACUCCAACUCAGAGCUUCAACAUGCGUACUUUGACACAAAGUAUGUGAUACUAAGUGUUACAACUAACAUGGUUCACAUAUCAAAAGCAUGGAUCCCUUCAUGCAUAGCAAAACAUUCAUCAGCAUCACACAUAUCAAUCAACAUAAACAUUAUACAUUCCAACACAUUCAUACAUAAACAUCAUACAUUCCAACACAUUCAUACAUAAACAUCAUACAUUCCAACACAUCCAUACAUAAGCCAACUGUGCUUCAAAAGGGUUCAACAUACUUUGUGUCUUCAACACUUGCUACAAUGUGCCUCGACACCUUGCCCUUAUUCUCACCAACCAGGUGAUGAAAUGUGAAGAAGGAACUCAUCUUCAUGCCACCAACCAAGUGAUGAAAUGUACAACCCGUACUCUAAUAUCAUUUGGCAACUUGCCACUCAUGCCACUAACCAGGUGAAGAAGGAACUCAUCUUCAUGCCACCAACCAGGUGAAGAAGGACCUCAUCUUCGUGCCACCAUCCAGGUGAUGAAAUGUCCAACCCGUACUCUCCUUCAUGCCACUAACCAGGUGAUGAAAUGUACAACCCGUACUCUAAUAUCAUUUGGCAACUUGCCACUCAUGCCACCAACCAGGUGAAGAAUGAACUCAUCUUCAUGCCACAAACCAGGUGAUGAAAUGUACAACCCAUACUCUCCUUCAUGCCACCAACCAGGUGAUGAAAUGUACAACCAGUACUUUAAUAUUAAUUGACAACUUGCCAUUCAUGCCACCAACCAGGUAAAGAAGGAAAACAUCUUCAUGCCACCAACCAGGUGAUGAAAUGUACAACCCGUACUCUCCUUCAUGCCACCAACCAGGUGAUAAAAUGUACAACCCGUACUCUAAUAUCAUUUGGCAACUUGCCAUUCAUGCCACCAACCAGGUGAAGAAGGAACUCAUCCUCGUGCCACCAACCAGGUGAUGAAAUGUGAUGAAAGGUGAUGAAGGAACUCACCUUCGUACCACCAACUAAGUGAUGAAAGCAACUCACCAUUCAUUCCACCUACCAGAAGACGAGUGGUACAACUUGUACAUGUGAACUCUUAGCAUUCACAAAUAAUCAAAAACCCUCAAGCUUGACAACUCAACUAGGGGAGCACUUAUGCCUAACAAGAGUUAUAGUCACCAAUAAAGUCUUAUUGCAAGCCAAUAACAACUUCAGUGCAUGGCAUACGAAGAUUAAGCUAUUCAGCCCUCUUGCAUCUGCUUCAAGCAUUUCCCCUCUGUAACAAUGCAAACACUACAACUCGUAGAAAGCUUCACACACUCUUGAUCAAGACAGUGUGAAGCAAAACCAAUUUAUGGUGCUAACAAGAGCUUCAUCAAAGAAGUUCAACCACAAUUCUUAAAAACUUCACACAUUUUUUAUCAAGACAGUGUGAAGCAAAACCAAUUUAUGGUGUCAACAAGAGCUUCAUCAACGGAGGGCAACUACAAUUCUCAAAAGCUUCACACACUCUUGAUCAAGAGAGUGAAGCAAAACUAAUUUAUAGUGCCAACAAGAGCUUCAUCAAUAGAGGGCAACCACAAUUCUCAAAAGCUUCACACACUCUUGAUCAAGACAAUGUGAAGCAAAACCAAUUUAUGGUGCCAACAAGAGCUUCAUCAAAGGAGUUCAACCACAAUUCUCAAAAGCUUCACAUACUCUUGAUCAAGACAGUGUGAAGCAAAACCAAUUUAUGGUGCCAACAAAAGCUUUAAAUUGGUGCCAACAAGAGCUUCAUCAAUGGAAGGCAACCAUAAUUCUCAAAAGCUUCACACACUCUUGAUCAAGACAGUGUGAAGCAAAACCAAUUUACGGUGCCAACACAAAUUUCAUCAAAAGAGUUCAACCACAAUUCUCAAAAGCUUCACACACUCUUGAUCAAGACAGUGUGAAGCAAAACCAAUUUAUGGUGCCAACAAAAGCUUCAUCAAUGGAAGGCAACUACAAUUCUCAAACCUUCGAAGCAAAUUCAAGACUGUUCGAAGCAAAUUCAAUUUAUAUGGUUCAUCCAAACCUUCGACUACUACAAGGUGUGGCUUGCAUCACAAUCUCUUGCUCAACAGUGUGGAAGCAAAAUUUGUAUAUGUUGUCUCUCCCACAUUUUUCAAAUUUCUAGUUUCCCAAAAAAAAAAAAUUGGGAAAUUCAACAAAGCUUCAUCAAUGGAGGACAACUACAAAUUCUCAAAAGCUUCACACUAUCUUGAUCAAGAUAGUGUGAAGCAAAAUCAAUUCGUGGUACCCAACAAAGCUUCACCACAAAAGCUUCACCAACAAAAGCUUCAUCAAUGGAGGACAACUACAAAUUCUCAAAAGCUUCACACUAUCUUGAUCAAGAUAGUGUGAAGCAAAAUCAAUUCAUGGUACCUAACAAAAAGCUUCAACUCCAAAGCUUCACCAAUAAAAACUUUAUCAAUGGAGGACAACUACAAAUUCUCAAAAGCUUCACACUAUCUUGAUCAAGAUAGUGUGAAGCAAAAUCAAUUCAUGGUACCCAACAAAAGCUUCAACUCCAAAGCUUCACCUACAAAGCUUCAACUCCAAAGCUUCACCUACAAAAGCUUCACACCCACAAUAGCUUCACCCACAAAGCUUCACCUACAAAAGCUUCACCCAUAAAAGCUUCACCAACAAAAGCUUCACCCACAAAAGCUUCACCCACCACAAAAGCUUCACCGACAAAAACUUCACCCAUAAAAGCUUUACCAACAAAAGCUUCACCCACAAAAGCUUCCACCACCAUAAAAGCUUCACCCACAAAAGCUUCCCCCAUCACAAAAGCUUCACCAACCACAAAAGCUUCACCCAUAAAAGCUUCACCUACAAAGCUUCAACACAAAAGCUUCACCUAAAAAAGCUUCACAUUAUCUUGAUCAAGAUAGUGUGAAGAUAGUGUGAAGCAAAAUCAAUUCAUGGUACCCAACAAAGCUUCAAUCUCAAAGCUUCACCUACAAAGCUUCAACAACAAAGCUUCACCUACAAAGCUUCAACAACAAAGCUUCACCUACAAAGCUUUAAAAUAUAUAUAUAUAUAUAUAUAUAUAUUUUUUUUUUUUGAAAUUCGAAAAUAAAAAAUAAAAAAAAAUUCGAAAAAUAAAAAAUUUCAAAAAAAAAUUCGAAAAAAAAAUUGCUUAGGCCUCCUUUUCUUUGGGCCUAACAACUUUCAUAACAAAUAUAUAUGAAGAAGGAGUUUUGGGCUACCACUUAGAAAGGAAAUGCCUCAUUCGUCAACUCCCUCGACCGGAGACUUAGGGGACUCCUACCAUAUGCUACUGCACCUUGAUACUCGGAAGUCUCACGACCACUCAGUGACUUGGAUUUUUCAAGUCUCCAAACGAGAAGUUUUCCUCACUCGGAAAAUUAAGGGAGCACUACCUCAACCUACAUGCUUCACUCACAAAGCUUCAACAUACAAGCUUCAACAAAAGGAAAAAUUCAAAGAACUUAGUGAAGAAGGCCUUGGUGUAUUUAACACAAUACGUUGAAAUGAAGCAAAGCUUGUUUAUUGAUAUCUCCGAUAAGUUACAAAUAUGUACAUAUACAUGAAUCAAAAUAAACAAACAAGAGGAGCCUUCACAAAGGUUGCUCAGGAGAAGUCUCAGCAGUCGGCAAGGGCCCCAGAAAGAGGAGGCACCAGAGGGUGAUUAUUCGGAGCCUCAGUACUAGGCAGAACCCCAGAAGGAGGAGGCACCGAAGGUUGAUCAUUUGGAGCUUCAUUACGCGGUACAGCCCCAGAAGACGAAGGCAAUAAAUGCCUUUGGAACAAACCCACAAACCUCUGAUGAUCAAGUAAAAUCUGACCAUCAGAUUCCUGCAGCUGGUCGAGCUUCCUCUUCAUGUUUGUAGCAUAGUCAUGUGCGAGCCUGUGCAACUGUUUAUUCUCAUGCUUGAGCCCUCUGAUCUCCUGUUUGAGACUUAUCACUUCAGCCGCCAAUGAUUCAACUUGGCGGGUUCGAGCAAAUAGGCGUUGGGCCAUAUUAGACACAGAACCUGCACACUGAACACUGAGAGCCAGAGAAUCCUUAACAGCCUUCAUCAGACCGUUUGGAAAGUAGUCUGUUAUCUUUGGGAGUGAGAAGGUUCCUGGCCACCACCGCAGCGGUCAUAUCAUUCUUCAUCACAGAGUCCCCAACGGUAAGAGGACCAGUAGGGGAUAAGAAGGAUGGGUGCCAUAUGUUGUCUUGAGAAGGCAUGGCUGCCUCUUCACCAAAGUUCAAGUCAAAACGACGGUCGGAUGGGCCAGACAUUCUCAGAAAUGAUGAAGGAGAAAUGAGGUGCAAUAAAUCUCUGAAGUAAGGGGAAAAUUCCUACAAGCAAUAACUCUCUGAAUGUACUUCUUGCACAUAAUUGGUGCCCUUAUAAAAGAAAGGGCAACAGGGCCGUUGGUUCAAAAAUCGAAGAGGCACCACUCUUCGGAUUCCAAAGAGGCACCACUUUCCACACGCAACAUCAGCUCCUCGGGUACCACAUAUAACUUUGCCAAAGAUCUCUGACAAAGUUUAGACACAUAAAUUUUAAAGGUCCAGCUAUCCUACUAUUACCCACAAGGGUAAAGGAACAACACCACUGCUUGAUAACUAGAAAGUCCCAAUGUGUGUCAACCUCCGUGCUCCGUGGCAAGGCAGACUGGCAAAAAUGCCCAACCUUUACUCACAUUUGAUAAAACACUCCCAACAAGAUUGCUUGCUCAAAAAUCGAAGAGACAUCGCCCUCCGAAUCUAGAUAGCCAGACUCCCAACAGGAUUAUUUUCUCAAAAAUCGAAGAGAUACUGCUCUCCGAAUCUCAAGAGUCAGACUCCCAACAAGAUUGCUUUCUAAAAAAUCGAAGAGGCACUGCUAUCUGAAUCUCGAGAGCUAGACUCCCAACAAGAUUACGUGCUCAAAAAUCGAAGAGGCACCGCCCUCUGAAUCUCGAGAGCCAGACUCCCAACAGGAUUACUUUCUCAAAAAAUCGAAGAGACUGCUUUCCGAAUCUCAAGAGUCAGACUCCCAACAGGAUUGCUUUCUCAAAAAUCGAAAAGGCAUCGUUAUCUGAAUCUUGAGAGCCAGAUCCUCGACAGGAUUGCUUGUUCGAAAAUCAAAGAGACACCGCUCUCUGAACUCCGAGAGCCAGAUUUCCUUGGAUAAAGCUUGUCUGCAAUCUUCACACACAACAUCAGUUUUCCAGAUACUACAAACCACUUUUUCAAAGUGCUCUGACAAAGUUAAAACACGUGAAGCUUGCAGCUCCCAUUACAUUGCUAUGACCAAGAAGGGUAAAGAAAUAGCACUACUACUUGUUAUUAGGGAGACUCAUAUAUAUAUCGACCUCCAUCCUCCACAACCAGGCAGACCUACAAAUAAAAAAAAAUGCUCAACUUUUCUUCACAUCCGAGAAGGCACCCUCAGCAGAGUCUCAUGAAAUACUCAGCUUUUUUUCCUCCCGAUAAUACCUCUGCAAACAAGCCACACCAGAGCAAGAGUAUCUCAUAUCAUCAGGGUUAAAAGCAAGAGUAUCCCAUAUCAUGCUUUUUCCCUGUUUUUUCCUUUGGCCUUGUUUUUACCUACAAGACAAGGAGAAAAAGAGCAAUCAGUCAGCGCUUGAAAUCAAGCUUCAAGUCAGGAACUACCUCUUGCCUGAUUACUUACCUGACAUUGCUCUCGAGUACUCAUCUUCAACAUCUUAUGCUUUCAGAGAAGAUACCAUAUCUGCCUGAGGAACAGAUAAGGCAAGUGAGAAGGAUACAAGGAAGCAAGUGGAGACAAGCGUAACAGAACACGUGCCGAUACAUCCACUACUUUGUCAACAACAAAAGUAUCCCAUAUCAUCAGGGUCGAACGUACUCUAGAUUUGAUGGACUUGUUUUGACCCUCAAAUUCUUGAGUCGGCCUUAUACUCUGGAGGAAACCAGAAAACCCUCCAGCCCAGUUCAAGAAUAAGCAUGUGGAAAGUUACUUCUUCAAAAGCAAAAGUAUCUCAUAUCAUCUCUUCUCCAUUUGUUUCUCCUUAUCCUUGUUGCUAUUUAAGACACAAGGAGAAGGAGAACAAUCAACCGGAAGCCGAAGUUGAACCUCUGAUCCAGGUUGCUUGCUUGGAAGUCUGAUUGCUUACCUUUUCUGUUACCUCUCUCGGCAAAUCUCCUAGCUCGACGACUUGGGGGACUCCUACUACAGGGUUUGUAUCGCACAUGACCAAGCUCGAAAUUACAAGUAAGCUUCAAGUGAAAUUGAUACAUUACCUUAUGCAUCUUCAUCGGUUAAAGAUACCACCCAUGGAUAGAGGAAAAGUACCUCUAGAGAAGAUGCCACAUCUACAUAUGAGACAGAUAAGACAAGUGAAAAUGAUACCACACUUCGGUACUUAGAAGUUUCGUGAUUACUUAAUAGCUUGGAUCUUGUAAGUCCCUAACCGAGGAGCUUCCCUUACUCGGGAGCUUAGGGGAUCACUGUUUGUACCAUACUUGACCAAUCCCAAAACUACUGAGCACCGGUCAAAGUUAUACCGUCAAGGACCCAUAAGUGUUUCCCUCCAACCAGGAGGCCAAUCACAGCGUGACACGUGUCGACAUCAGAAGCCAAUCAUAGCGCGACACGUGUCAACAUCAGAAGUCAAUCACAACACGACAUGUGUCAAUGUCAGAAUGAAACUAGAAACUCUCUUCUAUAAAUAGAGAUCAUUCUCUCAUAAUAUUUCCUAAUGUCAUUUGUACUAAAUCAUUCACUAGUACUCACUAAAGAAGAGUUUGAACAUAUGUACUUGUGUAAACCCUUCACAAUUAAUAAGAACUCCUCUACUCUAUGGACGUAGCCAAUCUGGGUGAACCACAUACAUCUUGUGUUUGCUUCCCUGUCUCUAUCCAUUUGCAUACUUAUCCACACUAGUGACCGGAGCAAUCUAGCGAAGGUCACAAACUUAACACUUUCUGUUAUACCAAAGUCCUCACUGAUUUUGUGCAUCAAUAUUGUACAAAUGAAAGGUAUGGUGACUAUAGAAGCUAAAAAUAAAUAAACAGAAAAUAAAGGAAAAGUGACAAAGAAAAAUAUUAGUUUGUGUCGUUCUCAUUGUAAUAGUCUGUCAUGUGAUAUAUUUUAUACAUUGUAAUAUGAACGAUGAGUAAGUGUUUUGUUUUUUUUGUCAAACAAUAUAUUUGUUAGAUUAGAGAAUUGACGGGGUUCGAAUCCACGUCGUGGUGCAAGGCCACCACUAGUCUCCACUACUGUGGUAGAGUGCCACUUGUGGUCAGUAAGUUAUUAAAUGGUGUGAGAAUUACACCAAAAUAUUCAUUAGUUUUGGAGUAAUGCUAGAGAGACUAAAUUUGUAGACAAAAUUUUAAAAACUAAAAGACAUAAAAGUUAAUGAUUGGUUUAUUACUUAAGUGUUAAUAAACAUGCUUAUUCCUAUUGGUGACACAUUAUUUAGUUUACAAAUUUUGUCUAUAAAUUUAGUCUCUGUGGCAUUACCCUUAGUUUUAGGCUUUGUAAUCAAAAUGGUCUUAGAGAUUGGUACAACUCUUUACUUUGGUCCCAAAUAUUGAAAAUUGAUAGAAGUAAUCCCUGAGUUUGUUCACCGUAAAUCAUUUUGGUGCAUCCGUGAAAAGUCUGUCAACACCAUCUUUAAAUUGUCAUAUGAGCGACCACAAGACAACCUUUUCCAUAGUAUUGUCAAACUAACUCCUUUUAUUAACCAAAAUGGUCGAGUUUGGUAUAACCUCUCAUUUUGAUUACUAACAAUGAAUAUCAAUAGAUGUGGUCCUUGAGUUUGUCUAUCGUAAAUCAUUUUGGUCAUUCUAUGAAAAAUUUAUCAAUAUACUCGUUAAAUUGUCAUGUGAGCGACCGCGUGAUCACCUUUUAAAGGGCAUUUUUACCAAACCAACCCCUCCACUUAACAAGAAUAUUGAUAGAGUUUUCAAGGAAGGAACAAAAUGAUUUACGAUGGUCAAACUCAAUGACCACUUCUAUCAGUUUUCAUUGUUAGGGACUAAAAUAAAGAGUCAUGUCGAUAUCAGGAACUAUUUUGGUUAAAAGGGGUUGGUUUGAUAAAAAAAUACAUUUAAAAGGGUGGUUACAUGGUCGCUCAUGUAACAACUCAAUGAUGAUAUUGAUAGAUUUUUUACUGAAUGAUCAAAAUAAUUUAUGGUGGAUAAAGUCAAAAACCACGUCUAUCGAUUUUGUAAUCUUAGAAACUAAAACGAAGAAUUAUGACAAUCUCAAAAAUCAUAAGUUUAACUAAAAACUCUUCUUGUUAUACAUCAAAAUUAAUGAAUGUGCUUUUGUAGAGGACGUAAAUGUGUCAACGAAUCAGACCUUCACUAGUUAAAACCAUCCCUACUAAUGCUGUUUGAAAAGUAAGUACUAAUAUGAUUAAUGAUUGUACAGAAAAAUAAGUACUAAUAUGAUUAAUGAUUGUACAGAAAAAAAUAUAUUAUCUGAACAGCUCAUCGUGCAUGUUGAUUGAUGUAAAGUGAAUUUUUUUUUUUUUGGUAAACUUGGGAAGGUGGAACUUGGGAAGGAAUUUCACAUUCUUGGGGUGAUCAAUAUAAUGAGAUUGUAAGUCUAGUUAAACAUGCUUAAUUAAACAUUUAAGCAUCUUUUAUUUAUUUGUUUUCAUUCUUUAUUCCUUCUUAAUUUGUUGUAAUUGUUUGGAACAACUAGCAAGACAAAUCUAGCUAGCUAGCAUUCACUGCACAAUGAAAGAUUAUUCGUAUUUGGAAAUGAAUAAUUAGUUAAAACCUGUAUUAUUAGGCAAAUGGGAUCGUAAAUAUUUGUAUCUUAAACCUUCACAGUCAGAGAUAUUCGAGUCAAUUAGUUAAAAGCUAUGAAAAUUGUGAAUGUGACAGACUACGUACUAAAGUCUGGAUUAUUUGAGAGAGAGAGAGACAUGAGUCUCGCAGCCGACUGGUCCCUCAUCUGAGCAGAAAGAACCAUAGAAAGUUAGGCAACCACGCACAUUUUCAAAGAUGUCGAUCAUGAAAAAUAUUUCACAAAUAAAUUCAGGGAAGACUUUCUGUUUAAAUUAUUAACCCAGAAAUAAAGCUCCAUCUCUUGGUAGCUAGCCUUUCUGCUACGUACUCUUGUUGCAUUAAACUAAACCUUAUUAAAGCAAAAAUAAUCACACCUUAGGUGAUAGGUUUAGGGAAAUGGUUAAUGAUUUUAGCAAGUUCUUGUUUAUUUUUUAAUUUUUAAUUUUUUUUUCUUUAAUCAAUUUAAAUGCUAAAAUUAAACAACGAUGUGCACCACAAAUAAGAGGGUGUGUGAAAAUUAUAUCUCUAUAUCUAGAGAAAAUUAUGGCAAUGGUUCUUUAACUUUAAUAAAAUUGAAGUAAUGGUCUCUCAAAUAAAAAUUUAUGAUCAUUGGUCCCUUAAUUCUUUCAAACAUGCAACUAUAGUCAUUUUCAUCAAUUCCAUAAGAACGUCCAUCAAAAUGAGUCACGUUUCAUGCAAUGAGGCUGAAUCGAAGGACAAAUAUGAAAAACCAAAUGAGAAAAAUUGUAGCAGUGGUCUCUCAACUCUAACCCAACUAGAGAAAUAGUCUCUCAACUUUAACUCAAUUAGAGUAAUGAUCCUUCAACCUUAACGUAAUUGUAGCAAUGGUUAUUCAAACAUAACUUAUUUUGACAGAAUUCUAACGGAGUUAACAAAAAAAUCAUAGCUGCACGUUUUGAUGAGUCAAGAGACCAAUGAUCAUGGAUUUUUAGUUGAAGAACAAUUGCUCUAAUUGGGUUAAAGUUGAGAGGCAAUUGCUACAAUCUUCUCCUAUAUUUAUUUAUUAUUAUCUACGUUUACAAUGAACCAUCUACUCCAUGAAGCAAGAUAUUAAAAAAGGACAAGGAUUGUCUGCCCUUCCAUUUUCCAUGCCCUCCUGUUUUGUGUGAUCACAGUUAAGCCACGUUAACAUUUUAUAUAUUUUUUAUAAAGAUAAUAAAACAAAAAUGAAUAGUAAUAUAAAAUAUUGACGUGGCUUAACCGUGACCACACAAACAAGAGGGCAUGGAAGGGCAUGGAAAAAGGAAGGGCAGACAAUCCUUUCCAUUAAAAAAAGGGCAGGGCUUAACAAAAUUCAGUCAAAGGCCUCCUUGAUCCAAACAUUAAUUGAUAAUCUAUUCAAACAGUGGCCCCAUUAGUCUUAUUUUAACAUUAAUCUUAUUUUUUACUAAGGUAAUUAAUAAUUGCAAGUGAAAUUUGGCAUGAUUACCGUGGUGUUAAAGGUAAAGACCAAAGCUAUAUAAAGGGUGAGAAGGCUUAGCUUAAGAGGCAGAAAUCCCAUUCUUAACAAAGAUGGGGAAAAUGGGGCCUUCACAAGUGACCUCUCUUGUGGUCACUAUACUAGUGGCACUAGUCUCUCUCACAUUGCCUUCAGAAACUUCAGCUAACUACCCUUACUCAUCUCCACCACCACCGGCUUCUCCUCCCUACCACUACAAGUCACCACCACCUCCUUCUCCUUCUCCUCCAGUGUACUCACCACCUAAGCAUCCCUACCACCCCAAGUCACCACCACCAUCACCAAAGCCUUACCACUACAAGUCCCCACCACCACCUCCUCCUCCAGUGCACUCACCACCCCCACCAAAGGAGCCUUACCACUACAAGUCUCCACCACCACCACCCAAGAAACCUCACCAUCACAAGUCUCCUCCACCACCACCCAGGAAGCCCUACCACCCGGUGCACUCACCCCCACCACCAAAGAAGCCUUACCAUUACAAGUCUCCUCCACCACCACCCAAGAAGCCCUACCACCCGGUGCACUCACCCCCACCACCAAAGAAGCCUUACCAUUACAAGUCUCCUCCACCACCACCCAAGAAGCCCUACCACCCGGUGCACUCCCCACCACCACCAAAGAAGCCUUACCAUUACAAGUCUCCUCCACCACCACCCAAGAAGCCCUACCACCCGGUGCACUCACCCCCACCACCAAAGAAGCCUUACCAUUACCAAUCCCCACCACCACCACCACCACACAAGAAGCCUCACCACCCAGUUCACUCACCACCUCCACCUAAGAAGCCUUACCACUACACGUCUCCCCCACCACCCCCUCCAGUCCACAAGUCUCCUCCACCACCAGUUCACUCACCACCACCACCACCUAUUAAACCUUACAAGCCACCAACACCUCCAACAGUUCACCCACCACCCGCUUACAUCUAUUCAUCACCCCCACCUCCUCACCACUACUAGAUAUUGAGAGCUUAGUUGCAUCCAGUUGGUAAGCCUCUCCAUUCUAUGUUUUUAGAUCAUAUCCAUACAACUGCAAGCAAUCGCCAAAUAAUUUGACAAAAAACAUCCCUAGCUAUAAAAUUAUAAUACACUAGUGUUUACUUCCUUUUUUGUCUAAUAAUCCAUAUUGGCAUAUGCAAGCUUAAUGCAUUUCCAGCAUAUCGUCAUUACUCAAUUAAAGUUUCUUGAUAUUUAGUAGUACUCAAGUGUAACAAAUAGACCAAUGACAGAGACCUAACAAGUAACAAUAAUAUAUAUAUAUAU